AAACAAAAAAUCUAUUUAUUAUUCCUACUCUUACAAAGUCUAAAUUAAAAUCAUCCAAAAAUUAAUACAAGUCUUUUAAAAGUGAAAAUAAAAAAAUUCAAUCCUUCUCCGAAUCAUCGAGGGGAUGAGAACGUCUCUUCUCCAUAGGGGCUUUGCCAUUUCCUUUGACAUAUGUUUUGUGGUAGUUCCCACCCAUUAAAGGCACAUGGUGAGUUGGGCUUCGAAUGACAGGCCCUUUUGGUGUAGAAAAUUGCUGCUGAAAUGUCGCUUCAUACUCAUCCCCUAUUCCAGGGUAUUCCUGAGCAGCACCUUCCUCCUCAAGAUAAACCUCUUCAUCCUGAUGAGUCGGAGUUGGCUUGAACAUGUCUGGAGGAUAAUUUGGAGCGCGUAACCCACUCAUCCUUAUGAAUUCUUGAUGUACUAGUCCUGUCUCAUGCAUCCAUCGAAUCAUUCCGUCAAGUUUUGCGUCUAUGUCUCCACUAGCUCCCUUUUCUAAUCUUUGAGUGAUCUUUUUGUUUGAGUGAUGUUAGUAUGUCAAAUUUUAUCUUCCUCCUUUGAUUCCAUUUAGUUAUCUGCUUCCGCUGAAGUUUGACAUAUUGGGUAUAUAAUGUAUCUCCGAUACUACUCCUCGUUGGUUUCAUUAAUUGCUUGUUUUCGCUCAUUGGCACCUCUGUCUGAUAGCAUAGAGCCGUUACGAGGUGGGGGAAGUAGAGUCCAAGUUUUUGGCUCUAUACGCACCUUUUCAUUUCUUAAAAAAUCCAAUGCCCUACAUUGAUUUGUUUUCACUGCAUGAUACCAUGUAACAAGAUAGCUGGAAACACAUUAACAUUAGAAACAUUUAAUACGGGUGCAAUUCUAGUGCCAAUGAAUAGCAUCCACAUUUUAGCAACAAGAAACAUAAUAACUUGAUUAAAAUUCAUGGGAAGCUUAGUGUCGGCAUGUAGUUCCAACUACCCCUGCCUUGUGUUAGAUAUUUUAUAACAUCUUCCAUGUCAAUGUUUUGAAAUCCUUCUAGAUUAGUAUAAUCUAUAAAAUCUUUUUCAUAAAAUGGGAUGUUAUAAAACUCACAGAUAUCAUUAUGGGAGAUUGGAACGUCUUCCUCUUGCACUUCAACAUCAGUUAUAACUGAAUUAUAAUGUAACACCCGCGACCUCCGUCGUUGGAUCAGGGUUACAGAGUAUUGUUGUACAAAAUAGAAUAUUAAACAUCGAAAUAGAAUCAAAAUGCCAUUUAUAUAUUAACAUUUGAUAACAAAAUUAAACUAUAACAUAAGUACCUUUACAGACUAAAAUCGAACCUAAGAGGCCUUAAAAAUAGUUUGGAAACAAUGAGGGAUUACUCGAAACAAAUAAAAAAUUUAGGCCAAACUUGAGAAUUUUCAAAAUAGGGGUUACACGGCAAUGUGACAUAGCUCAGGCUGUGUGGGAAUUCAAACUAUGGGACACACGGCCGUGUCCUAGCCCGUGUGCCAGACCAUGUAAAACUUGCACCUAAAUUAAUAUGACACACGAUCACAUGAGGUGAUCGUGUGUAGCACAUGGUCGCGAGACUGCCCGUGCCUCAAGCCGUGGGCAGUAAAAAGUGCCCCUUAAACAAACCAUUUCAAAUUCAAUUACUUGCAUACCAAUGCACACCAUAUCUAACCUAUUUCACAUGGUUAAAAGUACUUCCAAAGCAUAGAAAACAUGCGAAAUUCUCAUCCAACCUAUGAUUAACCAAUAUAUCAUCAAUAAACUCACCAAAUCACACUCCAAAACCAUUCAUGAACUACAUUACAAUAUCAUAUAUCAAUCAUAUGUCAUGAAUACCAAAAGACCAUUUCUUUUCAAAUUAUACCAUCAAAAUUCACCAGUUUAGAUAAGUAAAAUUAAAAUGACCAUAUCCAUAAAAGUUUAAAUAUAUACAAGCCAAAUAAAACUAUAUAUAUAUACUACUAGACACAAGAAAAACCAAAAUACACCAUGUGAUCAAACUAGAUAAGCACCUAUUACAUGCCAAAGCACAAAGUUUUGUGCCUAGCACUAAUCGGAUAAACAAGAGAUAGGUGUGCCCUGCACUAGUCGGAUAAACCGACAAUGUUUUGUACCUAGCGCUAGUCAGACAAACUGACGAUAUCAAAUGUGUGUCCAGCACUAGUCAGAUAAACUGACGAUAUCAAAUGUAUGCCCAUCACUAGUCGGAUAAACUAACAAUAAAUUACGCCUAACACUAGUCGGAUAAACCGACGAUAUCAAAUGUGUGCCCAGAACUAGUCGGGUAAACUGAAAAUACAGACAUAAUUACAUCAUCCAGAUUUCUUCAAUUUAUAAUUUAAAUCCUUUACAUUAAUCUUCUAUAUUAAAUUUCUAUAAUCCACUCCAUAACCACUUUCAUAUAUAUAUAUAUAUCCAUAACAUUACAUUUAAAAUACUAAUCAUUUGAAUACAUAUAAUUGACUAUCAAAUUAACUAAUUAUCAAACUAAUUAAAUAAAAAAUGUAUGAGUUUAAGCAUUACGAACUUACCUGAACUCAAAAUUGACUUUUAACAUGAACCAACUACUACUCCGCUAGUUUGACUUUUCCGCGAUUUGUGUCCGUUCGAGUUGUUUCUUAAUCUAGAUAAAUAUUUUUAUUUAAUUAAUCUCAUUCCAGCAUUUAAAAUAAUUAAUUCAAGCCUAUAACCCUUAUCUUUAAGAAUUUACUAAAUUACCCCAAUAUUUUAGCAUUUUUGCAAUUUAGUCCUAAAUCCCGAAAUUCAUGAAUUAUCCACAUUUAAUUAAAAUACCAGCUAUCCUAAUUUCAUAUAAUUUAUAAUCAGCCCAUAUCCAUUACCAAUUCCCAAUAUUUACAUGAAGUUUUACUAUUUUAACAAAUUAAUCCUUAAACAUUAAAAUCAUUAAAAAUCACUUAACAAAAUAAGCAUAUCUAACAAUCAAGCUUCCAACAAAACCAAUUAGCAUCAAAGACAUUCAAAAUCAUAAAUGGUAAAUUUCUAACUGUUUGACGAUUUCACAAAUUAAUCCUCAAUUUAGCUAGAUAUCAAAACAACCAUCACAAAUACACAAAAUUCAUGAAAAACAAGUCAAGAAAUACUUACAUGCAAAGAAAAAUAAAAAAUAAAAACCAAAGCUCCCUCCUUCCUACAAUGGUGUUCGGCUAAAGAAAUAAAAGAAUGAAGAUGAUGGAUGCUUUUGGUUGUUUUAUUUUAUUACUUUAACUUUUGUUUAAUUAAUAAACAUAUAUUAAAUUAUAAGUUUCUUUUUCUUUUCAAUCCCUACAUCCACUAACCGGCCAUAAUUCAUUAUUAUGGUCUAAUUGCAACAUAAACACUUGUAACUUUAAUAAUUUACCAAUUAAUACCUUUUUAACUAAUAAAACUCACUUUUACAACCUUUAUGAUUUAGUCCUUUUAAUUAAAUAACUAUUUAAAUGAUAAAAUUUCCUAAUGAAACUGUAAUAUAACCUUAAUAACAAUCUGUAAAUAUUUAAUAAAAUAUUUACUGGCUCGAUUUAUUGAAACGAGGUCCCGAUACCUCUUUUUCUAAAACUAGUUGACUUUAGUAUUUACCACUUGAACCUAAUUAUUCAUUCAAAUAAUAUAAAUUAUCAAAUAAAAAUUUAUUAUAAUACUAUAUUUGGCUCGUAAUUAUUAAAUAAUAAUAUUUACGAACCCACUCGUCAAAUUUGUGGCCCCGAACUUUAUCCUCAAUAUUUCUGACCUAAAAACAGUGCUGGUUAUUGUGUUCUGAAAGUCUCCUCGACUGUUAUGUUUCAACGAACUUGUUUUCGCUUCAUUCUGACCAUUAUAACGAGGUUCUACAUUUCUAUUCGUGUAUAGCUUCAAAUGAUAUCAUUAUAAUACAAGACUGAUAGAUGUUAUUAUAAAUGAAUACCAACCAUAAAUAUUUUCCAAAUUACCCCUGUUUGCGCCAUAGCUUUUUGAAUUUUAGACACAUACGACUCGUCUAGCUUUUAAACUAAUAAUAUGUUCUGACUGGAAUAAAAAACUUGAGUCAUUUUUAUUGAUCUGACAAUAAUAAUCCUGAUUGAUUCUCUCUUUCUCAACGUCAAAGAUAAUCCAGAUACAAAAUCCAUCAACUUGCAUUCAUAUCCCAUCAAAACUAUAAUAAACGGUAACAACUCAGACAAGACUUGAUGUUCAACUUUGACAUACUAGAUAUCUAGAUACAAACUCUAAAAUUUCAUAUUUUAAACUCAGCUAUCAACAACUAUGUCUUAAGACAUUUCAUGGUUUGUUACACUUGACUGAUUCAAAUAGACACUGUAAUAAGCCUUUCAUAAGAUAUCUCAUAUAAUCUCCUAUUUGUUCAAUACAUAUAUUUGAUCUAUUAACACAAUCCAUACUGUAUCAAUGAUCUAAUUAUUUUGAAUUUAUCCCAGUUUAACUAUCAAAUUCAAAUAUUUUCUUUGCAUCUCACAAACUUUCUGAAGAAUCAACGAUUUAACCCUUAUCUGUAUACUAAUCGAACGAACAUAAUUCAAGGUUACUUGAGUAAAACACUACUGUCGACAAUGAAUUUCUUCCCAGAUGUAGACAAAUUUUGAAUUGAAGCUUCUACCAAAAGAAUUUUUCAACUAGUUAGAACUUUGCUGAUACUUAUCUGAUCAAAGAAAUUUAACAGUUUCUUGUAAUAAAUUCAUCCUCGGUAAUACAAUUAUUGAAAAUUUCUUAAUGAAUCAUCUGUCGAGGUGGUAUCAAUUAAUCUGAAAAGCGUAAUCAACACUCGUAGUGUCCGUAACAACUUCUGAAUGCUACUUUCGGCACAUCUACAUCUUUAACUAACAACUGAUAGUAACUAGAUCGAAAAUUUAUCUUCAAGAACACUGUAACUUUUUUCAGCUGAUCGUACAAAUCUUCAAUACUGAACAACUAAUUAAAUUGAUCUUUCUUUUUACCAUACGUAUUCAACUGUUGAUAAUCUCUACACAAUCUAAUUAUCCCAUUUUCUCUUUUCUUCUUCAUUUUUUUUUUACGAACAGAAAAAAUGCAUCUUAAGGUGAUACACUCAUUCGAAUUAAACCUCCAUCAAUAGAUUCUUACAACUGAACUUUUAAUUCUUUUAAUCCAUUUGAAAUCGUUUUGUACAAAACGAUAAUAAUCGAAUUAGUCUUGGACAGUAAUUCAAUAGCAUGUCCGACUUCUCAUUCUGGUAGUAAACUUAGCAAUUUCUUCGGAUAAACAUCUGUAAACUCAUAAUCUAUCAGUACAUGAUCAACUGUCAUUUUUUAUACUCUAGAAUCUAGGACAUAUGCAUAAAAAUACAUCACAACCAGUAAUAAAAUCAGGGUUGAGGCCUCCUCCUGUGCAGGAAUCCCUUAAGUUUUGGCAGGUGCUUAAGCUUUAGAUUGAACGAGGGUAUCUUUAAUGUCACUUCUUCUAACUCCAAUGAUGCCACUAUUUCUUGGUUGUUCGUCUCUAAUAAGAAUAGCAACAGGCUUUACAUUCUGAUCUCUAUUUAAUUCAGUUCGACUUGUACAAUCUUUCUUGUAGAGAUCGGAAGAUCCACAAGUAAAGAAGGAUCUGCCUUUCUAUAUUCAUAUCUCAAAAUGAUUCCAUCCACAAAGACUAUAUUCAAGUUUAUUUACAUUUCUUACGCUACCUGCACUGGCUACUAAAGUCACUGGUGGUCUCACAAAACUUUAUUUCAUUUUAUCUCUGUUAAAAAACCCCGAUGGCACUAAAAACGGCUACUCGGUUCUUUCAUUUUUCUUUGACGGAAGUAGAAAACAUUCUAGAUACAUUUCGUUUAUUGAAGUCUUAAACCCUUGAUUCGCUCUAUUUCUAGUGAUAACAAGUUUCUUCAAUUUUCAAUUUUUUUUCUGAACUUGAUUAACUAAAAUUACUAACUCACGAAAUUCCAUUGCACACAAAAACAUUUUAAACUCAUUAAUCAUUCCGUCUUCACAACAAAUACAUAAUUCCUUUCCAAUUAGCAUCAUCAUAUAGCAUAUUUACUGAGCCUAACAAACUCUCACUCGUAUUCCGCAAUUGAUCUGAUUCCUUACUUCAGCACAAGAAAUUCCUUUUUAUUUUUGUCUAAAUAUCGUUUGCUAACAUCACUCUUUCAAAAAUUAAAUUAGAAGAAAUCCCAGUUAAUCUGUUGUUUCGAUACCAAAGUAAUAUCUUCAUAAAUAUUCAGGAAUUCAUAACAUUUCAUCUAAAGCUCUCUACGUUUGCUAACCAAUACUCGGCUCUGGAUGAAUCAUUACUCACUUUACCUCUAAACUCUAUAGCUCCACACUUUCGAACUUUAUCAAUAGAAACCCUAUGAAUAUUUUGUCGCAGGACUUUGACCACAAGGGAGUGAAGGUCGUAGAGUCACAAAAAUUUAUUUUUAUAUACACAAUAAAUAUAUUAUUGAUUAUUAAUAAAAAUAUUGUGAACCUUUUCUCUAGACUUCUUAAAUUUCAGCACAUUUUAGGCAUCCCCAUGAUUGGAGACUUGAACAUUGCUGACAACUUCAUCGCAAUUAGCUCGGUUGGAAGACAUAUUUUAUUUAUGUGAAAAAUAAAAUUCACUUGAGUCAGGAGACAUCACACUAUCAUAGGUUAUAAAAUGACAUGUAUUUCUAGUCUCCAUACAUGCUAGUUCAGUUUAAGAAUCGACUAAACCAUAGCUCUGAUACCACUAAAUGUAACACCCCUAACCCGUCUUGUCAUCGGGUUAGGGUUACAAAGUAUUACUGUACAAAAUAAAAUAUUUAACAUCGAAAAAGAAUCAACAUGCAAUUUAUAUAUUAACAUUUGAUAAAAUAAUUAAAUUAUAUCAUAAUUACUUUUUCAGCCUAAAAUCGAACCUAAGAGGCAUUAAAAAAUAGUUUGAAAAUAAUCAAGGACUUAUUUGAAACAAAUCAGAAAUUUCAGGCCAAACUUGAGAAUUUUCAAAAUAGGGGUCACAUGGUCGUGUGGCCAGGUUGUGUGGACAUUUAAACUACGGGACACACGACCGUAUCCCAACACGUGUGUCAAACUAUGUAACUCACUGACUUGGGUCACGGUCGUGUGCCAAACCUUGUGAAACUUGCACCUAAAUUAAUGACACACGGCAUAUGAUUACAACAAUGCAUUUAUAUUCAUCACCAAACAAUACUAGUCAAACAUUCAUCUAAUAUUCCUACUUGUGAUACAUAUCUCACCCAAAACAUGUUACCUAAAUAGCGAACCAUUGAAGGAUGAGAUACCGACCUUUUCGUUGAUAUCCUUUUCGACCUUUUCAUUUAUAUCAUUUUUAAUCUUCUUCAAUGGAUCGUUUAUAAAUCAUCAACAUGGAUCAAUCUAUUUUUGGCACUUGGUGCCGGACGGAUAAACCAUAACAAAGUUUAGUGCCUAGCGCUAGUCGGAUAAAUCGAAGAUAGGUGUGCCGUGCACUAGUCGGAUAAACCGACAAUGUUUCAUGCCCAGCGCUAGUUAGAUAAACUGAAGAUAUCAAAUGUGUGUCCAGCACUAGUCGGAUAAAUUGAUAAUGUUUUGCACCCGGCGAUAGUAGGAUAAACUGACGAUAUCAAAUGUGUGUCUAGCACUAGUCAGAUAAACCGACAAUGAUUUUACACCCAGCGCUAGUCGAAUAAACCAAAAUAUACAUACGUAAUUACUUCAUUCCAUAUUUCUUCAGUUCAUAAUUUAAAUCCUUUACAUUAAUCUUCUAUAUUAAAUUUCUAUAACUCACUCCAUAACCAUUUUCAUAUAUAUAUUUCCAUAGCAUUACAUUUAAAAUACUAAUCAAUAGCAUUACAUUUAAAAUACUAAUCAUUUGAAUAAAUAUAAUUGACUAUCUAAUUAACUAAUAAUCAAACUAAUUAAAUAAAUAAUGUUCAAAUUUAAGGACUACGAACUUACCUGAACUCAAAAAUGACUUUUAACAUGAAUCAACUACUAUUCUGCUACUUUGGAUUUUUUGAGAUUUGUGUUUGUUCGAGUUGUUUCUUGAUUUAGAUAAAUAUUUUUAUUCAAUUAAUCUCAUUCCAACAUUUAAAAUAAUUACUUCAAUCUUAAAACCCUUAUCUUUAAGAAUUUACUAAAUUACUCCCAAUAUUUUAGCCUUUUUGCAAUUUAGUCCUAAAUCCUGAAAUUCAUUAAUUAUCCACAUUUAAUCAAAAUACCAGCUAACCCAAUUUCAUAUGAUUUAUAAUCAGCCCAUAUCCAUUAUCAAUUCCCAAUAUUUACAUGAAGUUUUACUAUUUUAAUAAAUUAAUCCUUGAACAUUAAAACCACUAAAAAUCACUUAACAAAAUAAGCAUAUUUAACAAUCAAGCUUCCAACAAAACCAAUUAGCAUCAAAGACAUUCAAAAUCAUCAAUGGUAAAUUUCUAAAUGUUUGAUGGUUUUACAAUUUAAUCUUCAAUUUAGCUAAAUAUAAAAAAAAACUAUAACAAAUACACAAAAUUCAUGAAAAACAAGUAAAGAAAUACUUACAUGCAAAGAAAAAUAGAAAAACCAAAGCUCCCUCCUUCCUACAAUGGUGUUCGGCUAAGGAAAUAAAAGAACGAAGAUGAUGGAUGCUUUUGGUUUUUUUUAUUUUAAUACUUUAACUUUUGUUUAAUUAAUAAACAUAUAUUAAAUUAUUAGUUUUUCUUUUCUUUUCAAUUCCUUCAUCCACUAACUAGCCAUAAUUCAUUGUUAUGGUCUAAUUGCAUCAAAAACUCUUGUAACUUUAAUAAUUUAUCAAUUAACACCUUUUUAACUAAUAAAACUCACUUUUGCUAUCGUUACGAUUUAUUCUUUUUUAAUUAAUUAACUAUUUAAAUGAUAAAACUUUCUAACGAAACUAUAAUAUGACCUUAAUAACACUCCGUAAAUAUUUAAUAAAAUAUUUACAGGCUCGGUUUAAAGAAAUGAGGUCCUGAUACCUCAUUUUCUUAAACCACUUAAUUUUAGGAUUUACCACUUGAACCUAAUUAUUCGUUCAAAUAAUAUAUAAUAUCAAAUGAAAAUUUAUUAUAAUACUAUAUUUGGCUCGUAAUUAUUAAAUAAUAAUAUUUACGAAACUCAUCGGAUUUGUGGCCUCGAAGCGACUUGGGAGUCAGAAGAAAUGAUGAGAUCUCAAUAUCCUCACCUCUUUUCAGAUAAAUUUUAGGGACGAAAUUUAUUAAGGGGUAGAGAAUUGUAGCAACCCAAAAGUCAGUUGUGUCGAGAAGUGUAUUUUUGGAGUCUCAUUUUCGUAAACUGGGCUCGUAAAUAUUUUUAUUAAAUAUUCAUAGAGUUAUGUUAGAAGUAAAUUAAAUUUCAGUUAGGUAAUUUCAUUGAAUUAGAUUUUUUUUUAAGUAUAGGAAUUUAAUUGAAUAAGUGUUAAAAUUUUAAUUUUUAAUUAAAUCAUAAGUGAACAUCUAACAAGGGGCUUAUUAGGUAAAUAAACCAUUAAUCUAGUUAUUGGACGUAUCAUGAUAGCUUGGAUUAAAAUAUGUUAUAAGUUUUAUUAUUAUAAUAAAACAUAAGUUAAAUUAUUAAUAUUAGAUAAUAAUGAAAUGAAAGGAUAAAAAUUAGAAAACAAAUAGUUUAGUGGAAAGAGAAAUAAAUAAAGGGAAGCUUUUUGUUCUUCUUUGCAUGCCGACAAUUGAGAAGGAAGGUUAGCACCAUUCGGCCGUUGUUGUUUAUGUUUUAAAGUUCAAAUUGGUUGGUAUGUGUUGAUUCAUUUUAAUUAAAUUUUAUAUUUUUUGGUUUGUCGUUGAAAGCACAAAAAUAACCUAUCCCUAAGAAAUAACAAAAAGAAUAGUACAAGGGAGGGUCAAAUCCUCUGGGACCGAAUCACUACAACUUCUUGUUCCUUGAAAUCUUGGGCACAGUCGUGCUCAAGAAAAACGUCUUACCUGGGAAAAAAAUAAAAAUAGAAUUAAAAAUAUGGACGAGUUGAAAUUGAAUAAAUUGAAAUUAUAAUUGUAAAAAGAAACAAAGUUAAGGGAAGGGGAUUUUCGAUUUGAGGGAUUUCAGCCUCUGAUUAUUUCGAUCCUCCUUAGAUUCAAUCAUAGGCUUUUAGGUGAUCCUUCUCAUGAUCGAAUAAGCAAGUUAUAGUGAAAGAGGACGCCUAUGACCACUAGCUCCACUUAGGUUUUAGACUUACGAUUUAGAGGAACUUGACUCUACCCAACCGUCACUUUUGUGGGACCGUCUUACACUAGAUCAUCAUUUCUCAAUGGCGACUGACACGCAAUUUCGUCUUUUGGGAUCGACAACCACUGAUGAAGUAAGUUAGCGAACCGACUGUGCAACCUUCCCAACACAUACAAAGCAGUCGCCUUUGCACAAGAUGAAAAGAUUACUUUUGGAAGGACAUGAAUGGAAGCGUCAAUCCCGUAAUACAGAGAAAUGAUGAAUACUCGUUGAGAAGGGUUAAUUGCGGAUUCUAAGCCUCAUGAACUUUGUUGGAGGAGUCUUGAUAACCUUUGGCUAGAUGAAUUUAGUGGCUCAUGCUUUUUGGGAAAAAAACACAAGUUUAAUGGAAUGUAAUUUUAUUGGAAAGUAAAAAGGAACAAAAACGCUAAGAGCCUUAGGGGGAGGAGUGUUUUUACAGAAGUGAUGAGUGAAUAUUCAUGUCACUCCAUCCCUAUUUAUAAUACAUAAAAAACUUAGUUUAUUCAUAUUUAAAUUCUAGAUGAUAAUGUUUGAAAGAUAUAAUUUGAAAUUAAAUAUAAACAAUAUCAUAAUAAUUCUAAUAAUAAUCCUAAAAAUAAAAUUCAAAUUUAAAUAAAGUUUUGUGUUCAUAAAUCUCUUCUUUGAAUUUUUGACCCAAGUCUUCCACACUUUAUAUUUUCGGCACCAUUUCUUCCCUAUUUCGCAUGCUGACCUAUUUUGUCUUUAAAUUCAUGCUUUUUGUCCCUAAAUUUCCUUUUGCCUUCCAUUUAGUCCCUACAAGAUAAAGAACCAUAAACAGCCCAAAUUAGUAGGAUCAUACUCAAAAUAUGUAUGUAAUUAACACAUAAAAGUAUGUCAUUUUAGAGUAUUAUCAUAUUCCCCCUACUUAGCCCAUGCUUGCCCUCAAGUAUGGUUCCUAUCCCACUAUGUAAUUUAGAUUUUAUCAUGAAAGAAGUAGCAAUCCAAAGUUUUAUAAAAAUUAGGCAUAAUGCAUAUGAAAAAUAAAGAGAACCUUUAGCUUGAUUUAAGUAAAACCAAAAAGUAUUCCAACUUAAACACACAAAAGUUAAAUCGACUUGGAUUAUUUCAUGAAAAUUAGGUAAUUUACUAAACUUACCAAGACACCUUAUUUGUUCCACCCUUAGUCCCUAAAUGAAAUUCUUUUUUUUUUCUUAAGAAUGUAUUGGCCCUUUUGACGCGAAGAGGGAUGACAACCCAACCACCCCACUCCAAUUACUCAGACCAACACACUCCUAUUUUAUUAUUAUUAUUUGGUUAAAAAUGUUUGGCCCUUUUGACGAAAAUUGAAUAAGUGUUAAAAGUUGAAUUUUUAAUUAAAUCACAAGUGAACAUCUAACAAGGGGCUUAUUAGGCAAAUAAACUAUUGAUCUAGUUAGUGGACUGUAUCAUGAUAGCUUGGAUUAAAAAUAUGUUAUAAAUUUUAUUAUAAUAAAACAUAAGUUAAAUUAUUAAUAUUAUAUAAUAAUGAAAUGAAAGGAUAAAAAUUAGAAAACAAAUAGCUUAGUGGAAAGAGAAAAAUAAAUAAAGGGAAGCUUUAUGUUCUUCUUUGCAUGCCGAAAAUUGAGAAAGAAGGUUAGCACCAUUCGGCCAUUGUUGUUUAUGCUUUGACGCUCAAAUUGGUUGGUAUGUGUUGGUUUUUUUUAAUGAAAUGUUAUAUUUUUGGAACCUUAAAGAUAAUGUAGCCUACUCAUAUUGAAAAUUUGAGAAUUAAUGAUAUUUGUGGAAAUUGUCAUUGUUGAGAAAUUCAAAUCCUUGGUGUUAAUUUAUUGGGUUUUAAAUUUGGGAGUCAUUUAUUGAAUGAUUCUUGAUUUUUUAAAGUUAAGGACUUAUUUAUAAAACUGAUAAACUGAUAAACUCAAGGAUUAAUUUGUGAGUUAAUGAAAAAUAUGAAUUGUGUUUAACCUUUGGAAAAAAAUUUGAAAUGGUUAGUACGAUAUUUUGUUGAUUGUCCUUGAAUUUCAUGAUUUUUAAUUGAGGAAUUAAUUUAUAUUAAAAGUUUAUGUUGAGAGCAAAUUUAGAAAAUGUAAUUAAAAGUUUAAUGCUUUGUGUAUAAAUAUUUUAGGUGGUUGAAUUAAGUAAAUUAUUUAAGUUAUUGAUUUUAGAUCAAGAAGCAAGAGGAUCUGUUGAUAACGGUGGAAAGGAGAAGGUUGUCGAGUAAUCAUCUUCGAUUUUAGUAGCUAUCAUAAUAUGGUAAGUUCAUAGUCUUUGACUCAAAUUGUUUGUUUAAUUUAAUUAUUUGGUUGAUUUUAAUAUCAAAUUAUAUCUUUUAAUAUAAUCGGUUACAUUUAUCAAAUUCAUAUCAUAGAAUAAUAUAUGAAUCAUUAUGAGAUAGAUAAAAAAAAUGUUACCAUGGUUGUUGUGAUUGAUUAAAUUAUGAAAUGUGAUAAUGAUGACUUAAUUCUUGGCGAGCAAAUAUUUGUCGAUUAAUCCGACUAGUGUUGGGCACACAUUUAACAUCGUCGGUUCAUCCGACUAGCGCAGGGCGCAAAUAUUUGUCAUUUAAUCUAAGUAGUGUUGGGCACACAUUUAACAUCGUCGGUUCAUCCGACUAGCGCUGGGCACAAAUAGUUGACGGUUAAUUCGACUAGUGUUGGGCACACAUUUAACAUCGUCGGUUCAUCUGACUAGCGCUGAACGCAAAUCUUUGUCGAUUAAUUCGACUAGUGCUGGGCACACUUUUACUAUCGUCGGUUUAUCCAACUAGCACUGAGUGCAAAAUUUAUUACGAUUUAUUCGUCAGGUACUAGGUGUCAAUAACAGGUUGGUUAAAAUUAAUAUAGUUUAACUUAUUUCUGGAAGAUGGUUGGUAAAUGAGAGAUUUCAUGAAUUUUGUAUGAAAUGUUCAUGAGUAAAUUAUGGUAUAUUAUGCGGUAAUAACCAUUACAAAUUAGAUAUUUGAAUUGAUGGAUUAUUAAACUUAUAUGUAGUUCUUGUAUUAAGGAAAUUAUUUAGUAAUUGAUCAUUCUUUGUGUGUGCAGGUUAGGUACUUAUAUUUUGACUAUUGACUCAGCAUCCAACAACAAAUCCUAAACUCAACGUUAGUGAUAUAUUUCUUUUUGUUGUGUCUUGGCAUGUACCUAGGGUGAUAAAUUUUUGGGAAACGAUUUUUUGGUAUAUAGUUGAAUUUAGUAUAGGUUAUUUGUUUUGGGUGUUGCCAUAUAAGCUUUGAAUUAUAUUUUGCCUUAAAAGUAAAUGCUUGUAUAUAUAUAGAUGCGGUUAAUAUAAGUAUGUUUUUAUUAAAUUGACUCUUUUGAAUGCAUAUGUUAUAUGUUAAGUGAUAUUGAAUGAGAUAAAUUGGAUUGGUGGUUAAUGAUCUUUAGGUGUAUGUUUGUGUAUUUUUGGGUGAAAGAUGUUGCAUAUGGUUGAUGUUUUAGAUCCUAUAGAAUUGGCUCUUUAGAUGUAAAUGAAUUUGGUCAUUUUGGUUCGUUUUUUAUAUGGUAGGAUAGAGUAAUUAAAUUUGAUGAUAACUUAAUUGUGAUGUAAGAUGAAUGUAUGAUUUGAUCAAGGUUAAAUGCUUUUGUAUAUGUUGAUUAGAAUGUGGUACCAAUGAGGGCACAUUGGUUAGGCACCUAGGUUGUAUGAAAUUGGCAUGUUUUGAGUUGUUUUGAAGAGUAUUUGAUGAUGUUUAGAGUAUGGUUUUAGGCUUGAAUUGUUAACCAAGUUAUGCGUGAUUAUUUCCUUAUUUUUUAAGUAAAUUUUGGUACACAUGGCCUGGGACACAGGCUGCCACAUGGCCGUGUGUCUCAUAUUUUCAAAAUUUUCAAAUUUUUUCCUAAAUUUUCUGUUUUGUUUUGAAUUAACCCCAAAAUGUUUCCAAUACAUUUUUUAGGGCCCCGUAAACUCAUUUUAAGGCCCAUAAACGUAUUUUUAUUGUGAAUGGAUUGUGAUUUGAUAAAUUGUAAUUAUAAUUCAAUAUUUAUUUGUAAGUGGCGUUUAAUGUUAGAAAUGUUAUCGUAAUACUCCAUGACCCUAAUCUGGCGACAAAGAUUGGUUAGGGAUAUUACAUUUAGUGGUAUCAAAGCUAUAGGUUUAAUCGAUUCUCGAACUAAAUCGAGCUUAAAAUUGAGUCUAGAAGUACAUGCCAAAGUUGAAUUGAAUUUGAGUCGGGAUUGGAUGUUGAUUAAUAUUAUCCCUAUCUUAUAGUUAAAAGAUGUCAGAAGAUGCUAAUAAUGCAGUGGACCAAGGAAUUCAUAUUGGUGAUGAUUCUAUUGAGGAAUUUGAUGAAACUGAGUUAGUAACACCGAGUAUUCAGUUUGAUGGUGAUCAACAACCAGGUCCUAAAAUAGGCACUAAUGAAGGACAAAAUGAUACUAAUAUAUUACGAGUCAUUGCGAAAGCUUUUCAAAGGGUAGUGGGAGUCACUUCUCCAGUAAUACCCGCACAUAUGAUUAAACGAGCUCCUAUAAAGAAUUGAGGAGAUACGAUGCUAUAGAAUUUGCGGGAUUAAAAGGUGUUGAUUCAUCAAUGGUUGAAAUGUAGCUGGAAUUAACUACUCGAGUUCUUUAACAACGUGAAUGUACUUCCGGAGGAGAAGCUUACACAUGGUGGCAAAUCAUCACGCGACAUGUUCCUACAGAGGCUAUAGAUUGCAAAUUCUUUCAAGCGAAAUUUCAAAAGAAAUAUGUCAGGGAACUAUAUCUCGAGGAUCAAAAAUAGGAAUUUUUUUUGUUGAAGCAAGAAGAUUCAUCUAUGGUAGAUUAUGAAUGAUAAUAUGUCUAUCUUAGCAAGUAUGCUAUGGAACUUAUCCCUACCGAAUAAGCAAGUUGUAAGUCUUUCUUGUGGGAAAUGCGAGAUGAAAUUUGAACUCAGCUAGUAGCAUUAAAAAGUAAGGGGUUCGAUGAUCUGUCUGAAUGGGCAAAAUGCUAAAACAACCCUUGGGAUUAUGUAAGAAAUUUGAACCUUCUCGUGUUAUGAGAAAGGAUUUUAGGACUCCUAGUUCAUAUUUAGUACCAAAGAAAAGCAAAGGGUCUUGAGAUUUUGGAAAGACAGUUGCAAGAUCGGCGACAUUGAAUAGAAUACGAUACUUGCAACCUACAAUUUCUUAAAUGCCGAUCUGCGAACAUUGUGGUAAGAAGCACUGGGGAAAAUGUUAGAAAUUGACAAAGGGUUAUUACCGUUAUGGAUCGUUGGAGCAUUUCACUCGUGAGUGUCUGAAGAAUGAAAAUAAUACACCUGAUGACACACAGAGAACCACCUCUACAGUUAAGGGUCGAGGGAUGAGUAGAGAUGGAUUAGUUACGAGAGGUGGACCGAAAAAAUAAAGGAAAGCAAUCACUCAUCAGCUUGAGGCCAGAGCGCUAGCUCGUUCUUAUGUUGUGCAGACACGUGAUAAGGAGAUGCUACCAAUGUUGUAGCAGGAAUUUUUUUUGUUCUUCUCUACACCUGUUUAUAGUUUGAUUGAUCUUGGUUAUUCCUAUUCGUAUGUUAAUACCGACCUAGUGAAAUCUGGGAGUAUGAAAUCUGAGUUGUCAAAAGUAGCCAUGUUUGUAUCAUGUCCGUUGGGCGAAACAUUGUUAGUUAAUCAGGUCUGUAAACGAUGUCCACUGAAAAUUUAAAAUUUGACAUUUUCAGUAGACUUAUUAAUCAUGCCUUUUGGUGAUUUUGACACAAUACUGGGUAUGAACUGGCUAACUGAACACAGAGUAGUUCUCGACUAUUGGAAGAAAAAUUUUUAGUCCAAGAUUCGAAUAGUAAGAUUAUUGAAGUUAAUGACGUUAAAACGAGUGGUUUAACUCAAAUUAUUUUUUUGAUCCAAGUUGAUAAAUUAUUGCAGUUAGGUUGUGAAGUUUUCCAGCUUAUGUUAUAAAUUCAAUGACUAGGAUAGCAAAAUCAUUAAUAUUCAAACUGUUUGUGAAUUUUCUGAUGUGUUUCUUAAGGAAUUCUCGGGAUUACCACCUAAUCGGGAGGUUGAAUUCACAAUUUAAGUAUUCUCUGGUAUAACUCCGGUGUCAACACCCCCUUAUCGUAUGGCACCGGUUGAACUAAAGGAAUUGAAAAUUCAACUACAAGAAUUACUGGACCGCAGCUUUAUACGUCCUAGUAUAUCGCCCUGGGGAGCUCCAGUUUUGUUCAUUAAAAACAAAGAUGGUUCGAUUCGAGUUUGUAUUAACUAUCGUCAAUUGAAUAAGUUGAUAAUUAAGAAUUGGUACCCUCUUCCUCGUAUCGAUGAUUUGUUUGAUCAGCUAAAGAGAGCUUUAGUCUUUUCUAAGAUUGAUUUAAGAUCAGGUUAUUAUCAGUUGAAAGUGAAAGAUAGUGACGUACCGAAAACUGCCUUCGUUAUGGCCACUACAAAUUUUUAAUGAUGCCCUUAGGAUUGACGAACGCUCCUGUGGCAUUUAUGGAUCUCAUGAACUGCAUCUUUUAGCCCCACCUGGAUCAGUUCGUGGUAGUUUUUAUUGAUAAUAUUUUGAUCUAUUCAAAAUCGGAAGCUGAACAUGAACAACAUUUACGUAUUGUUUUACAAGUGUUGUGAGAAAAAAAACUCUACAAGAAACUUAGUAAAUGUGAAUUUUGGCUAUCAGAAGUAGUACUUCUGGGUCAUGUCAUUUCUGCAGACGAGAUUGAUCCAAAAAAGAUUGAAGCCAUAAUUCAGUGGAAAGCACUGAGGAAUGUGUCAGAAGCCCAUAGUUUUCUUGGUUUAGCUGAUUAUUACCAAAGAUUUGUUAAUGGAUUUUCUAAGAUAGCCUUGCCGAUGACAAAGUUGUUGCAAAAGAACAUACAGUUUGUUCGGAACGAGCAGUGCUAAGAAAGUUUUGGGAAACUGAAACAAAUGUUGAUUGAAGCACCAGUUUUAACUUUACCGAAAUCAGGAAAAAGACUUGGUGGUUUACAGUGAUGCCUCAUUGAGUUUUUUGGGUUACGUCUUGAUGUAAGAAGCGAAGGUUAUUGCAUAUGUGUCUCGGUAGUUAAAAACGCAUGAAUGCAAUUAUUUGAUACAUGAUUUAAUGUUUGCUGCUAUAGUUUUUGCUCUAAAGAUUUGGAGGUAUUACCUGUACGGUGAAAACUGUCAUAUAUUCACUGAUAAAAAAGUCUUAAAUAUCUCUUAACUCAAAAAGAGUUGAAUUUAAGAUAACUUCGUUGGGUUGAGCUAUUGAAAGAUUAUGAUUGUGUUAUAGAUUACCACCCUGGUAAAGCUAAUGUCAUUGCGGAUACGUUGAGAAAAAAGCUGUAGUUGAGCUGCGAGCGAUGUUUGCUCAACUCAAUACUAAUAGUGACGGUAGUUUACUUGCUGAGUUGAAAGUCAAACCAGUGUUAUUUGAUCAGAUUAGAGAAGCACAGUUAGUGGAUAACAAGUUGGUUGAAAAGAGAAAAAUGGCUCAAGACGGCUCAAUUGGAAAUUUUAGCAUUGAUGAUUGUGAUUGUCUGCGAUUUCGUAAUCAAAUUUGUAUUCCAAAUGUUGCUGAGUUAAAAGAAUUGAUACUUGGUGAAUCUCAUGAGAGCCCUUUUGCUUUACACCUUGGUGAAACGAAGAUGUAUCGCGACCUUCAAGAGUUAUACUGGUGGCCUGACAUGAAAAGGGAAAUUGUUGAAUUUGUAGCUAGAUGUCUAACCUGUCAACGGGUUAAGGUGGAACAUCAAGUCCCCAAAAGAUUACUUCAAUCUAUUUUUAUUCCUGAAUGGAAAUGGGAGCGUAUAACAAUAUAUUUCAUGACAAGAUUACCAUUGUCCCGGGGAAAGAAAAAUGUUGUUUGGGAGAUAGUUGAUUGACUUACGAAAUCGACCCAUUUUAUUACAGUCAGAACCAAUUGGUCACUUCUGAAACUUGCUCAGAUUUACAUUUAGGAGAUUGUUAGAUUGCAUGGCAUACCUAUGUCAAUUAUCGUUGAUCGGGAUCCCUGAUUCACUUCGAGAUUUUGGAAACGGUUGCAUGAAUCACUCAGUACAAGACUCAAUUUUAGCACGACUUUUCAUCCGCAAACGAAUGGGCAAUCUGAGUGUGUUUUUCAGAUUUUAGAAGAAAUGCUUCGAGCCUGUGUAAUUGAUUUUGAUUCAGAUUGGGAACAUUAUUUACCGUUGGCUGAGUUUUUGUAUAAUAAUAGUUUCUAAUCGAGUAUUCAAAUGGCUCCGUAUGAAGCCUUAUAUGGUCGCAGAUGUCAAACCCUUGUCUGCUUAUUAGAAUUAAGUGAGAAGAAAGUAGUUGGACUGGAAUUAAUCCAAGAAAUGGAAAAUAUGGUUAAAGUGAUUCGAGAUAGAUUGAAAGCAACUUCCAAUAGACAAAAAUCUUAUACAGAUUUGAAGCGACGAGACAUUGAUUUUGCUAUAGGUGAUAAAGUAUUUUUAAAGAUUUCACUGUGGAAGAAAUUUUUGUGAUUUGGUCGAAAAGGGAAAUUGAGUCAUCAUUUUAUAAGACUGUAUGAACUUAUUGAAAGAAUUGGACCUAUUGCUUAUCGGUUGGUAUUGCUUUUAGAAUUGCAGAAAAUGCAUGAUGUUUUCUACGUGUCCAUGCUUAGGAGAUAUCAUUCGAAUCCGUCUCACAGUAUUUCAAUAGAAGAUAUAGAAAUUCAGCCUGAUUUAUUUUACAAAGAAAAACUGGUUGAAAUUUUAGCUCGUGAGGUGAAGGAGUUGCAUAACAAACAUAUUCCUCUUGUGAAAGUUUAUUGGUGUAGUCAGAGCAUCGAAGAAGCAACUUGGGAGUCAGAAGAAACGAUGAGAUAUCAAUAUCCUCACCUAUUUUCAGGUAAAUUUCGGGGACGAAAUUUAUUAAGGGGGAGAGAAUUGUAACAACCCGAAAGUCAGUUGUGUCGGGAAGCAUAUUUUUGGAGUCUCAUUUCCAUAAACCGAGCUUGUAAAUAUUUUUAUUAAAUAUUCACGGAGUUAUGUUAGAAGUAAAUUAAAUUUUGGUUAGGUAAUUUUAUUGAAUUAGAGUUUUUCUUAGGUAAAGGGAUUUAAUUGAAUAAGUGUUAAAAGUUGAAUUUUUAAUUAAAUCAUAAGUGAACAUCUAACAAGGGGCUUAUUAGGUAAAUAAACCGUUGAUCUAGUUAGUGGAUAGCUUGGAUUAAAAAUAUGUUAUAUGUUUUAUUAUUAUAAUAAAACAUAAGUUAAAUUAUUAAUAUUAGAUAAUAAUGAAAUGAAAGGAUAAAAAUUAGAAAACAAAUAGCUUAGUGGAAAGAGAAAAAUAAAUAAAGGGAAGCUUAUUGUUUUUCUUUCCAUGCCGAAAAUUAAGAAGGAAGGUUAGCACCAUUCAGCCAUUGUUGUUUAUGUUUUAAAGCUCAAAUUGGUUUGUAACCUCCUAAACCUAGCCUAGACGUUAUUGUCGAAUCGGGAAGGCCACAUUAAACACCUAGGCUAGGUUAAAAAACCAAAUAAUAAUAAUAUAACCUAAAAUAUAAUUAAGUUAAAAUAAUAUGAUAGUUAAAAACCUAAAAUAUCACUAAUUUAAUCUCGAACAGUCCCAAACCAUAGUUUUAAGAAACUUUACAAUCCAAAACCAAAUAAUAAUAAUAAUAAUAUAACCUAAAAUAUAAUUAAGUUAAAAUAAUAUGACGAAGUAAAGUCCAAAGUAUGUCGUAUAUCCACAUGCCAAUUUUGAUCCUAAGUUCGAUCAUUACCUGAGAAGUUGAGAUAAUGGGGGAGCUUAACAAGCUCAGUGUGAGUCUAAACGAUUAUUAAGCAUUCAUACAUGCAAUUUCAUAGAGGUACCAAUAGCACAAUCAAACAUUGAUAGUAAUAAUUUUCAAAUGCACAUGAUCGUGAAAAAUGCACAUGUGAGAUCCUACCCAUACCAUCUGCUACACACCACGAGUUCCCUAGAACCUGUCUGCCAAACUCCAACGUAUGUGAGCAAUGCUCGAUGCGGUAAAACCACCAAUAAUCAAUAAUGCAGUGAAACUGCCAACUUAAUAAUGCGAUAUAAUUGCCAAUGCCCUCGGCACCUCAAAUGCAGUGCACUGACUAAAAAUAGAUGUGAACUUAUUAUGUCACUGGUACUCCACGGAACUCCUCCGUCAACCACAAAAUCCCAUCCCAAUGCACAUGCAAUAUGUCAUACAAAUUCAUACACAAUCACAUUUCAAUACUUUUCACAUUUAUUCGACAUGCUCAACAUGUCCUCAAUAACCACAUACUGUUGAAAUAUGUAUAUGUUUUAAAUUUAUUUAGGUAGAUAAAUCUUAUUUAGGUAUAUAAGCUUUAUUUAUAUUCUAGAAAUAUUUUAUUUUAUCUUUUAGUAGUCUAUUAGAAUAAGGGAAUUAUUUUCCCAAUUAGGAUUACGACCUUUUUCUCUAUUUAAAUUCAGUUCUUUAGCUAAUAAAAAAUAUAACAGUUUUAUUAAAAGCUCUCUUGAAAACUUUCAUGGUAUCAGAGCAAGGUUAAAUUCUAGCAACAUCAUGGUUAAGACAGUAAUAGCCCGAUUUUGGGUCUAGUCAGAAUAGUAGUUUUGGGACCACAAAUCUGACGAGAAAAAUUAUUUUAAUAUUAUUUUUUGUAUUUAUAGCAUGUGAUUAUAUAUGUGUGAAAGUUACGUAAAGAAAUUUUACUGUUUGAAUGCUUAAUUCGGUAAAAAGGACUAAAUCAUGUAAAGAGUAAAAGUUGUGUUCUAUAAGCUAAAAGUGUCUAAUAGCUAUACAACAUUAAAGUUUAAGUCCUGAUAUGGUAAUUAGACCAUAAAUGGUGAUAGUGGAAUGUGUUGGCUUGGCAUUUUUUAAAUUAGUAAUAUUUUAUAAGGUUAUAAAGGUAAACUAAUUAAUAAUGAUAAAAUAACAUGAGAAUUAUAUGUCCAUCUUCUUAACAAAAACACUUCAACCGAUUCUAACAUAGAGAAACCAUAGCUGGGGUUCAGCCAUGCUUAUUUUGCUUGAUUGGUAAGAUAUUUUGUCCCGUUUUUAAUUAUUUCUAUGUUUUUGAAAUUGUUGUUUCGUGUUCUAGCUAGCCCAUGCCCUAAUUUUUGAAUUGGUUGAUGAAUUUGUGAGUUUCCAUUGAUGAUAGCUUGAUGUUUUUGAAUGUUGAUGAUGGAAAAUGAAUAAUUGUUGAUAGAUUAAUAUGUUUUGUAAAGUGAUUUUUGACAAAAAUGUCAAAUAGGGAUUAAAUUGUGAAAUAUGCAAAUUGAGUGGUUGAAAUGUGAAAUAAUGAAAGUUUUGGGCUACUGGGGGCACUAUAGUAAUUCGGCUUAGCUUGGGUUAUAUUGAAUUGUGUGAAUUUUGUGAAUUUUUGAAAUAAAGACUAAAUUAAAUAAAUGUGAAACUUUAGGGGCUAAAGUGCAAAAAUGUCCAAAUAGGUAUUUUUGGAUGAAAUUGAAUGAAUAGGUGAUUAAAUGAGUUAAAUUUGAAUUCAUAUAGAUCAAGAAAGAAAGAAAUCGGAUUUAGAUCAGGAGAAAUUAAAAGUUGACGAGUAGUUGAUCUGAUCCGUUUGUUUCCGUACGAGGUAAGUUCAUAAGUAAAUAAAUAUUUUUGAAUUUAAAAGUAUAUAUUUUAUACAUUGCCGAAUUUGAUUUGUAUAUAGAUAUGCAUUGCCGAAUUUGAUUUAUAUAUGGUUAUACAUUGUCAAAUUUGAUUUGUAUAUGGAUAUACAUUGCCGAAUUGAUUUGUAUGUAGAUAUACAUUGCCGAAUUUGAUUCGUAUAUGAAUAUAUAUUUCUGAAUUGAUUUGGGCAUUGGAUGACUGAUUUCGUGCAUGAAUUGAUUUAAUUUCAAAGUCGAAAGCUCCGAAUGAACCUUAGUAAAUGUAUUGGAUAUUGAUGUCAUGAUAUUAGGACUUCCGAGGUGUGAUUUCAUGUAAGACCAUAUUUGAGCUAUUGGCAUCAAUUUGACAUUUCGUGUAAGACCAUAGCUGGGCUAUUGUCAUCGAUACGAGAUUUCCAUGUAAGACCAUGUCUGGGACAUGGCAUUGGUACGAUACAUUAUGUACGACUUUUCCCAAGUACCCUUAGUGUUCCAAGGGGUUCAACGGGUAAUCCAAAGAUCAUGUCAAAGAAAAGACAAGGUAUGAUCAUGUUGAAAGGAUACAGGUAUGUACGAAAAAUUCAUGAGUAAUGAACUCGAUGCAUAUUGGACAUUUUGGAAAGAAUGUAAAUGAGUAAGUCAUACUUAUGAGAAUGAUCUUGUGACGACCUUGUGAUUAUAAGUCUAUACUUAUGAGGUAUAAAUAUGUGGUAAAUUUGAUUGAUGAAUGUGUGAGGCUUUUAGGCCAAAUUAAAUUGAGACAUGAUAUGUUUAAGUCUUUGUUGUUGGUGUAUAGGUGAGAUUGGCCAAUAAAUGACAUGUGAAUAUAUGAUAAUGAUUAGCUAUUGGAGUGGCUAGUUAUGGAUAUGCUUUGGUGUUAUGUGUGUAUAAAUAAAUGUUAAUACAAAGAAAUCAUGAAAGAGUAAAAUUUGCAAUAAAACAGUUUUGGACAACAGCAGUUGUAUAACUUUGAAAAAUAACCAAAAAUUGUGGAAAUCGCAUUAGAGGUUGAAUAAGACAUGAAAUUAGAGGUUAUUGAUCUAGUUUCACAUAGAAUAAACGGUGUAAUCAAAAGAAUCUCAUAUUAUGAGAUAUUUGAAUUUUUGUAAGAUAAGGUCAGAAUGAUUUCGGAAUCCCUUGUUCUGACUUUGGAAAAUCAUUAAAAAUUGUAUAAAAAUAAUUAUGGGUUAGAAUUUAUAUGAUUAAAAUUAUUAAUGAGUCUAUUUUCAAUAGAAACAAAUGGGAACAUCAUCCAAAUUUCGUACUAAGAUAUAAUUAAUUUUUAGAGAAGAAAGGUCAGAACUGUCAGACAGUAGAACAGGGACGACUUUGAAGAAUUAACUGUACUUAUUGGCUAAACCAAAAAUUCAUGGGUAAAUAUGAGCUUUAGAUGAUAAAGGAUUUAAUAGAAGUGCAUAAUUGAAGUUGAGGUCCUUAAAUGGUAAUUAGACCAUUAUAUUUUCAUGGACAAAAAUGGGCAUGCAUAGAUAAAAAUAACUAAAGUUUUAAUGAAGGGCAUUUUCGUCAUUUGGUAAUAAAAAGAAUUAAAAGGGAAAAGGAUGGCAAAAUGUGCUCAUCUUCUUCCAUAAGGGCCGAAACUUCAAGGGACUCCAUAACUAGGGUUUUUUCACCUUCUCAAGCUUAUAGUAAGUGCAUCCAAGCCCCGUUUUUAAUUUUUUCUAUGUUUUUGGAGUCCACGUAGCUCAGUUUAGCUUAUUCUACCAUUAAUUCAUGUUAGGGUUUAUAUUUGGAAAAAUACCCAUAGGUGAAAUGUGUUUAUUUUAAUGUUUUAUAGUAGAAUAUGAAGUUUUAAAUUAUGUUAAACAACUUUUGCUAGGCGAUUUUAAGUGAAAACGAGUAAAACGACAUAAUCGGUAAAAAUACCUAAUGUUCAUAAGUAAAUGUUAGAGUGGGAAUUUGAUGUUUCCAUAGAAGGGAAAGAUGUUCAGCAUAUCAUAAAACAUAAAAAUAAGGGAUGAAUUUUAAUUUCCGAGCUUUGGGGAAAAAGUGUAAAUAUGCAAAAGUUUAGGGGCAAAAUCAUAAUUUUUCCAAAGUUUGAGUCAAGGACUGUUUUGAUGAAUGGGAGUAUUAAAUAAGCUAAAUUUACUAUUAUAGAUCAAGAGGAACGAAAUCCACAGUUGGACUGGGGAAAGAAAAAGGUUGAGGAUUAAGUUGCUAUAUUUGAUCGUAUUUUGUACCGAGGUAUGUUUAUGGUAAAUAAAUGCACUAUUUCAAUAAUUAUUAUUAAUGUUGUUACUUUCCAUCAAUUAUGUACUUAUUUCAAGAAAUUAUUUAAUGUUGACUCAAGUGUGAGAUGAUAAAGAAUUAGUGUUAAAAAGUCCCGUUGAAACAUUAGGAAUGUAUCAAAUACAUAUGUCAUGACAUUAGGGGGAUGAGACCCCAUGUAAGACCAUGUCUGGGACAUGGCAUUGGCAUUAUUGAGGUUAUUAGAGGUCCCAUGUAAGACCAUGUCUGGGACAUGGCGUUGGUACCGAGAUGAGAGGUCCCCCGUAAGACCAUGUUUAGGACAUGGCAGGGGCACUGAUAUGAGAACUCUCAUGUAAGACCAUAUCUGGGAUAUGGCAUUUCCAGUACAGGAAACAUCCCAUGUAAGACCAUGUCUGGGACAUGGCUUUGGCAUGUUAUUAUCUGAUAGGAGACCCGAGUAUCCUUAGUAUUCCAAGUGUUUCAACGGGCUAGUAAAUAGACUAUGUUACAUGAAAGUUCAGGUAAAAGCAUAAUAAAUAGAUUUAGGUGAGUUAUAAAGGUUAAGAAUAUCUCAGUUAUCAGUCGAGAAAAAAAUUUCAGCAAGGGAGGAGUAACUUAUAAUCAUGAGUUAUUUAAGUAAGCAAGUAAGUAAACAAGUAAGAGAGUAAGUAAAGAAGAAAGUAAAGAUCAUGAUACUUGAUGAUAAUUUAUGAGUAUAAUUAUUUAUGAUAAAUUUUGUUAUUUAUUUGCUUGUAAACUUACUAAGCUUUAUGCUUACCCCCUUUAUUUUCUUUCUUUUUAUAGUAUCACUAAGCCAAUUCGGGAAUUGUAAGGGUGCCGGAGAUCGUUUAACACUAUCAACAGACCAUCUCGGUAUUUUGUGAUUCGAAACGUUUUAAGUUAUGGCAUGUAUAGAGACUUAGUCAUUUUUUGUGUGUGUCCUUAUGAUAUGGCUAAUGAAUAACAUGUAAAUACUCGAUAAUGAUUAGUUAUUUAAAUGACUAUUUAAGAACAUGUUUUGGUGUUAUGUAUGCCUAAAUGAUAGUUAAUACAAAGAAAUUAUAAAAGAGUAAAAAUUUGCAAUGGAACAGUUUUUGGAGAGCAACAUUGACAUGAUUUUGAAAAAUCACCAAGGAUGGUAGAAAUGGAAUUAGAGAGUGAAUGAGAUAUAGAAUUAAAACUUAUCAAGUCUAUUUUCACAUGAAAUAAAUGGUGUAGGCAAAAGGGAUUUUAUAUUUCGUAAUAUUUGAAUUUUAGUGAGACAGGGUCAGAACGGUUUUUGAAGUCCCCUGUUCUGACUUUAGGAAAUCAUUAAAAAUUGUACAGAAAGAAUUAUGAGUCAUAAUUUAUAUUUCUAGAUUCCUUAGUGAGUUUAUUUUCAAUAGAAAUGAGAAAAAGCACCAUAUGAAGCUCGUACAAUGAGAUAAUUGAUUUCUAGUGAAUAGAGGUCAGAACCGUUACACAGUGAAACAUGGGAGACUUUAAUGAAUUAACUGUACUAUUUGGCUAACCCAAAAAUUCUGGAAAUUUUAUGAUAAGAAGAUAUAAGAGUCUAGUUUUAGGAAACAUUUACGGAUCUAAAGUUUGAGUUUUGUAACUCGAGUUAUAAUUAAAUUAGUGACUGUCACGCAAGUGGACAGUUUUAUUAUGAAUAGUGCAAUAAUUUAUUUUAAUUUAUUUGAGUAUUCGGAAAAUUUUUAAUGUUCUCGGUUUUGACCCGAACCAUUUUUGUUCCAUGUUUUAGGGUCUCGAGGGUCCUUUUUAGGCGCAUAUUGAUUGAACGUGGGUGAAUUAAUUUUAAAAGCAAUUUUUUAUGCUCGAAACUAGUAAGUUAAGUCAGGUAACGCCUCGUGCUCGACUCCGGCAAUGGUCUCGGGUAAGGGGUGUUACAGUAGCAACCAAUUAUAGAGGUUGAAUUAUUCAAUGUUUGGGGUAUGGAUUUUAUGGGACCAUUUCCAAGUUCAUUUGGAAAUCUUUAUAUAUUAGUAGCUGUUGGCUACAUCUCGAAGUGGGUUGAAACUAUUGCAGUCCCAAAGGAUGAUGCAAAGACAGUGCUUAAUAUUUUUUUCACAAGCAUAUACUCACCCGCUUUAGCACACCAAAGGCAUUGAUUAGUGAUCAGGGUACACACUUUCAUUGCAACCAAGUGGUAGUCGCACUGAAGAGAUAUGGAGUUAAUCAUAGAAUGACUACUACUUAUUAUCUACAAACUAAUGGACAAGCCGAAAUAUCAAAUCGACAAAUUAAAAACAUUCUUAAGAAGGUUGUGAACCCUUUGAGGAAAGAUUUGUCUUCCAGACUAGAUGAUGUUUUAUGGGCAUUGCGGACAGCAUACAAAACUCCAUAAGGGAUGUCGCCGUAUCAAUUGGUUUUUGGGAAAGCAUGUCACUUGCCAGUUGAACUGGAGCACAAAGCAAUGUGGGCAAUUAAGCAAGUGACCAUGGACUAUGAAGCUGCUGGAAAGAAAAGGCUAUUGGAUAUCACUAAACUAGAGGAGAUUAGGCGAAAUGUCUAUGAAAACGCUGCAAUUUACAAGGAAAAGACCAAACGAUGGAAUGACAAAAUUAUUUAGUAGCGAAAAUUUAUUGCUGGUCAACAAGUUUUAUUCUUCAAUUCUAGACUGAAACUACACCCGGGUAAAUUGCGCACUCGUCGGUCUAGACAGUUGGAAGUUGUCAAAGCAUUUCCAUAUGGUGUAGUCACAAUCAGAGAUUUACAUGAUGGAUACCAGUUCAAAGUGAGUGGCCAGCGAUUGAAACAUUAUUUUGAGAAUAUUGAUCAAAAACAGGCAUAGACCAUUAAAUUGGUUGAAAAUUUUUUAUUUUUAUGAAAUUUAUUAUUAUGUAAUUUUAUUUUAUUUUUGUUUCUAUUCAAGUUUGUUUUACUUUUUUUUUCAAAACAAUUAGAUACCAUUGUCAACGCACUUGGGUUUUAUUGUCAACGCAGUUCAUAUUAUUGUACUGUCACGUAUGACUCACCACGAAUGAAGGGCAGAUCAAAACUUUCAGAUCCCACCAUUUGAUCAAAAGUGACUUAGCCGUCUGGUUUGUCUAAACGGCUGAAAUUCCCAUUUGACACAUUUAUUCUCUCCAGCUUUAUAUCUCUUUACAUAAAAAAAUCACGCAUUUCCAUCUUCUUCUUUCACUCACUAUAAACCCCCUUCGUUGUGCCGACUAUACCACAUACAUCGCAACCAUUUUUAUUCACUUUCUCUUCCCCAAGCUCGUACCUUUACAACUUUAAACCAUCUCCACAUCACAAAACAAACAAAAUAUGGCAAGAACAAGAGGAUCAGUCAAGAAAGCCACCAAGCCUAUUAAAGAACACUCAUCCUCUGCAACUAUAGUUCGUGAAUCGAAAUCCUCUAUGCCAGCAAAGAAAAAAAAAGUUGAUGAUCUUUUUAACGAAAGUAGCCAAGGACCAAUUUCAAGAUAACAUUUUGAAGUGAUACUUUCGCCCAGAAUAGGGCAUUCUCCUUUCGUAACAACAAGACUUGGGCAAGCAAGUCAACAAAACCAUCUCUAAGCCGAUGUGGAAGACUUUUUGCACUCAUCCUGAAAGCUAUUCUCCUUCAUUGGUAUGUGAGUUUUACACUAACCUUUAUGACCAUGAGUUAGAGUUUAUAUUUGUUCAAGAAGGUUUAAUCCCAUGGGAUGCUAAAAGAAUCAAUAAGCUGUACAACACUAAAGUAGAUGUAGAUGAACACUUUGAGUUUAUUGAGGAUAUCACAGACGACAAAAGGGACCUGCUGGUGAAGGAUUUAUGUGUCGAAAGAGCAUUAUGGACGGGUUCACAUCAAAAGAAUUAUACGAUGCACCGCCGCUUCCUGACACUGCAAAGCAAAAUUUGGUUUCAUUUUGUCAACUACGGGCUACUGCCAUCUACUCACAGCACCACAGUCAACCUCGAUAAAAUGUGCCUAAUACAUUCAAUUAUCAAGGGUAGAAAGAUUAAUGUCAGCGUAAUACUCCACCAAGAAAUUAGUGAUUGCGCUACAAGGCAAACUGGAAUUUUGGUUUUCCCAUCGUGGUGAUGCUACUGUGCCAGCAAAAAAGGAUAGUGCCUUGUGAUGAUAAAGUGGUCCUAAGGAAUAAAGGCCCGAUAAAUUAAGCCUCUAUUUAUAGAAUGACCCAUGGCAAAGAUACACUAACAAUGAAGGAAACAGAGACAAGCAAGACAAGAAAGGGCAAAACCAAGGCAGAAAGUAAUGGAACAAACCUGACUGCAGAGACAUUAUUUUUGGGCAAAAUGUAGGAUAUCGAGAAGUUGGUCAAUUCCAUCAGCAAAUCAGGCUUGUCGCUACAAUAGAGGAUAUGGAUAGAUCACAAAAUUUGUUCUGCUCUUAUACCAAGGCCUGUAACAACUCUAUUCUAGUUGCAUUAAGUUAGUUAAGCCCAACCCCACUCCCAAAAUUUCCAAUGUUCCCACCAAUCAUUUGAUAUUAUGACCUCUCAUCCGAGGAAGAUGACUUAAAAGACAGAGACAGAUCAAUAGAAUCCCCUCCCAUUAUGCACGUCUUUGAGGAUAAGAAAGAAGAUGACUCAAGGGACAUUGAAGAGUGCAUGCGAAGGACUGAUAGCUUGGUCGAGGGCAACUUAAAUCCUGGUCAAGAGGCACCUACUGUUGAGGAGGAAGUUGAUGUGGGAGAGGAGGAAAUCUGGGUUAUAGUUGUGAACGAGAAGGUCGAGGAAGAAAAUAUUGAAAAGAAGUUGAUGAGAAAUAAUCUGCGGAGAACAUUGUCAAUGCAUAUGAGUUUUUGGGUGCAACUACAGAUAAUCUGGAGCGAGAUAGAGCUAGACCGGCAAAAGCUGUGGAGGUAACCAAUGAGAAGCACCAAAACUCAUUGGCGAUAGUGGUCUAUACAAAACCACUCAAGGUGACCCCUCCUACACAAGAAGCAUCCGAUGAUACCGGGGUAGUGCCAAAAACUGAGGAGUAAUCCGAGGACUGUGUGAAGCCCAAAGAAAAGAAGAGAAAGAGCUCUAACGACAAAAAGUGAAAGAAUGAGGAGAAAAAGAUGAGGAAGAAGAAACAUUGUGCAGCCACAUUGAUGGCUGAGGAAAACUGAGUUAGUUUAUUUUAAGUUUAAAUUGUAGUAUUCAUGCAUUAUAUGUAGUUGUAAUUUUCAUUUUGUUAGUGCACAUUGUCGUUGCAUUUUUAUUGCCAUUGCAUUUUAAUGCUAAUGCAUUAGGGACAAUGCAACUUUAAGUUUGGGGGAAUGCAUAUGGGGUUUGGAAAUACACCCACAUUUCAAAAAAAAUUGAGUUUAAUGAAGCAUAUAUUUUCUCCCUACUUAUUGGUUAAUUUGUCCCCAUUUAGUUAUCUUUAGCACAUAUUUUAGCAUUUUCAGUUCAAUAAAUUGUAUUUUAUAACUCAGUGGAUCUUAACCUAUUUAUCCUUAAUUUCGUCAUGUUUUGAUACUUAAAUUCGUCAUGUUUUGAUACUGAUGUCGUUACAUGAGUAUUUCCAAAUUGCACCUAGAAUUCUCGCUGCACCUGAAAGCUAUCCCGAUAAGAACAAAAAGGUGUAAGCUGUCCAGUCUACUACAACUAACUUGUACGUACAGAGGCAUCAUAAUUCUGAUAAAGGGACACUUGUGCUAUUUGGAUAAAUAUGAAUAUUCACGUGAAAAGGAGAAGGGAGAGGUUUUGGGGGGGUAUUAUCUUCUUCAGUCUAUCUUUUGAAGCUUUUCGGCUAUGGAGGCCUAAGCCUCCUACGGGUGAAUCGACGUGAAAGGGAUGCAGAUUAGCUUUUGGCGAGGAGCACUGAGUGUGACAUAAGAGGGAAUGGAGAGAUUCAAGUCGAGAUUGUCUAGGAAUAGUAUUCUCCACUUGUUUCUUUUAUAGUUCUUUUCUAAACGAUAGUGAUUACUUUCUAUUUCAUGUUUGUACGGAAGUAUACAUGAUUUUUGGGUUAAAUGUUAUUUUAUUUAAUCUUGCUUCUACUGUUUAAUCUUUGGGUUCGAAUUUUUUAGCAUGGAAGUGCUAUUGCGGUCACUGACACUAGAAAGUGUAGCGACAAUUCAAGCUAACAAGCAUGACAACAGAAGUUGCUUGAGGAUUAGAGGAAUUUAAUCCACUUGUUCUUAAUAGUGUUGCAUUGCCAUCACCGGAUGGUGUGGCUAAUGUGCACGUUUAAGUCUUAGAUUAAAUACAGAAGUUAAGCUUGGUAAGAUAUUCAUUGCAAUUCAAUGCAUCAGCAAUCACCUAUCCUUUUAUACCUUGUGAGCACUUAGUAUUCUAUUGAAUAUUCUUGUUGGGGAUCCCAAUUUAUCAUUAUCAUAUUUUAUCUUAUUAUUUUCAAGUUUUUGCUUCGACAACUACUCUCACAAUUUAUCUCAUUCCUAUCUAUUUAUUGCACUAACAUUGAUAGACAAAAGACAAUCAUCCUCGUGGGAUUGAUAUCCGACAGAUUCAUAUCUAUCUACUAUACUUACAUCGACAGUGUACGCUUGCACAUUAUUUCUGUGAGUUAAACAGCCGAUCAGGAAGAUAGGAAGAUCCUGCUAUUUUAAUUUUUCUAUCUCUAUCUCUUGCAAUUUUAUUUUUUAUGUUAUUUUAUUUUAUUAUUUUACAAACACUAAACAUAUUUCUUAUUUUACUCUCAUACUAUAACUGACUUAAAGUAUUAAUUAGAUCUUUAAUUUUUUAGGUUAAGAUUGACUUAGUACUCACCUCCUUAAGGUACGAUCCUCGGAGUACUCACCUAUUUCGUUGUAAAAUCUAUGUUAUAACUCGACCUAUAAACUUGCGGAUACCGCCUCCUAACUUUCUAUUUUACUGUAGUAUCCAUACUCUGGACGUUAGUAUGUCCGAGGCAGUCAAUGUCCGCAAGUAUACAAGUCAUGUUGUAAUAUAGCUUUUACAACAAAGUAGGUGAGUACUCCGAGGAUCAUACCCAAGGGAGGCGAGUACUAAAUUAAUAUUAACUUAAAUGUAAAUAGAUCUAAUUAGUACUGUAAAUAAAUUAUAGUACGAUAAACAUAAAGUGAAAAGGAUUUUUUUUAUAAUAAAGGAAAUAAAUAUGCAUAAAAGAAUGAAAAUGAAGAACUAAUAUGUAAACUCAACCAAAUUUAAGCAUGGGUGACUAGCUCUCUUUGAUGGUCAUAACUAAUUCCUAUUUUGGGUUUCUACUCAAUCAACUAGUCGUUACCCUAACAGGAUAUCUCGAUCUUCCACUAAACUAACGAGUCGGCAAGAACUACAUAUCUCUUCACCUCACAGCCCAAACCGAAUUGGGGUAAGGGGUUCACGGAUAGGCAAUACCAAUUUUUGGUUAAUUCCCACCUAGAUAACUUUCUAGUGUUGUCAGGUCUAGGGUUUAAGUUCUUCCUAUCCCAAACAAUUGAUCUGCUAAGAAGCCCUACAUAGAAACUAAUUAAUCACACAAUUGAUCUGCUAAGAAACCCUACAUAGAAACUAAUUAAUCACACAUUGACUCACUAAUCCCCUAUUACUAAUCCCCUAUUAAGAGGAUUAGUUGCUCAUGGAUCUCAAAAAUAGUAUAAACUUGAUAAAUAAAGUAAACAUGAAGAACAAAUUAAAAGUAAAAGUUUAAGAGAAAUCCUAAUUGUAUUAAAUGAUUGAGGUACAGAAAUCCACAAAGCGUUCGUUGAAUCCACAAAUCAAAUCCUCUGAAUAACAUGAAUGAAAACAAAUUGAAAAAAAAAUCCUAAGUCUAAAAAGAAAUAAAAACUAAAAACUAAACAGAAGAGAUAAGUCUAAGUUAUAGAAAAUAUUAUUUCUCAAAUUUUUAAUGAGCUUAUUUAUAAUGUUAAGGUUGGCCAUAGUCCUUAGCCCUAGUUUGGCAGAUGUUUUUACAUUAAAAUACAUUGUGCAAACCAAAACGCCUUCAAUUCGUUAAUGCUUUCAUGUACAGGGUCAAUGUCACUACAUCCACUAUCAACGUAACGACACUAAAGGUAGUCUGCUUGGCUUAAGCUCAGCUUCAGGGGUGUGUCGUGACACAAAAGAAAGACUUGAUAUUUGGCCUUCUGUUCACUAUGUUGCGACAUUGAACUCUGGUGUUGCAACAUGGCGACCAACCUCAAGUUCUUAUGCCUCCAAAUAGUCUCCUGCAAACUCACCAAAUACGUUAGUCUUUCCUUAGGCCUCCUUCGGCCCCUAAGGUCCUAAAAUCGACUCAAAUCACACUUUUUAUUAAAUUGAAACCAAAAUAUAAAAAAUAAAUAAAACAUAAAAAGAUUGCUUAUAUUCAAGCUCCUUAAAUAUGAAAACUAGUUUAAUCCGCUACAAUGAAUUGUGGCAAUCACUUUACUACUUAGCGAACCUAGGUAAAUUGUGUGAACUCAUAUAUGUAUGCGAACCCAUGUGUUUAUGCGAACGCUAUUAGAGUUUCAUAACCUAUGCAUGUACAAUUCCUUUUUAUUGUGAAGCUUGUUUACUUACCAAACCUAUUUUAAGUGUUAGCCUAUAAAGCUAUAUUAUUGAAUGCGAACUUAGAUUGAUGCUAUGCAAACUUAUGUUGAGUGAUGUUUGCGAACCCUUAAGAUAUUGUAAAUUGAUAUGCAAACACUUCCUCUAUUUGUUUUAUAAGCUAUAUAUUAUAUGUAUGAUGUUAUGACAAUCCACUACAAUAUGUAAAACUUAGCACAACUUCCAUAUUGUGAAUUUGUGGUGUGUUGGAGGAUAGGUUGAAGUAAAGUCACUUCGGUGGCUAAUGUGGCACACAGGAUUUAGGUCGGACUUACUCAGUCAGUUUUGGAGUGUUACAGAUGGGUUGGUUGUAAUUCAACCAAACUAGACUAGGUUCUCAACCCUAUCCAAUUUCAAUUACUCUAUUUUCCCAAUUUUCAGUAAAGAUCAUUAGUUUGCAGUCUCUUUCUGUAAUACCCCUACCCAUAUUCGUCGCUAGAAUAGGAUACGAGGCAUUACCAGAUUUUACCGAAUUAAUUUUCCAUUAUUACGAGUUACAUACUAUUCAUUUAUCGAAACAUGUCAUGACGUCCCUUGGAUAGGCCUCUGAAGCCCAAAACAUACAUCGAGACUAAACCGAUCUUAAAUCGAAACCAUAAGAAAUUUUUUUUAUGAACUCAAUAUAACCCCUUUAUAAAUUUCUAACCUUCCCUGCAAUUUUAAACCAAGACUAAUCUAAACCAACCAAUCCAUUUCGACAUAUUUUCAAGAUAGAUUCAAACAUAUCCAUAAGAUAACCUCAUUACAUACCAAAACCAAGAUCUGUUAGCCAUACCAAUGGCUAACCUUACAUUCAUUUCACAUUAACAUUUACUUUAUUAGCUUAUACAUGCCAUUGAUUCCAACAUAAAGUUUCUUUAUAUACCAAAAUCUUGAGGUUGAUAGUGUGAUGCGUCUCUGACCAGAUCCAGCCUCCGAGCUCUUAACACUACAAAAAAGGCGAAAAUGAAAUAAGGUAAGCACUUUGUGCUUAGUAAGCUCAUGUAACAAGAAUUAUACUUACCUAAUAUUUUCAAUACAAUGCAAUAAACAUUCAUACAUCCAUUCAAUGCAUUAUUCCCCUAACAUGCACAAACUCAACAUUCAAGUUAGUUCAAUAAUUUUCAUGUAUCAAUAAUAUAUAUACCAUGAUUUGAUGAGCUCAUCAAUACCAUGAUUUCCAUUCCCUUGUUAUUUUUCCAUAUUUAUCCCGUUGAACUUCUCGGAAUUUCGAUGGAUUUUUAGGGGUACACUUUAGUGUACAGAUUUGGGUCCAUCAAUUCAUAUUAUGUGAACACAUUUCCAUUUCAGAGAGCACACUCCCGCAAACCUCAUCCUUACAGCGGGAUUACCAGUCCAGGCUAAAUCCCCUGUAAUAUAAACUCAUAGAGUAUUGUCGGGAUUACCAGUCCAGGCUAAACCCCCUGCAAUGACAAUUACUCUAAUGAGAUUGGAUCUGAAUUACCAGUCCAGGCUAAAUUCAGACCCUAAUUCGGAUUACUCGUCCAGGCUAAAUCCAUUUUCUACAUAUUCUUCGGGAGGGCUAUAUCAUGAUAAAAUCACACGUUCGGGCUAGAUCCCUUUUACCAUCAAUUCCUUUUCAGAGAUCUAUCGAAUUUUCCUUUCAUUCAACCGGGAUUUAUUUUCUAUUUUCAUCAAGAAUAUCAAUACUUCAUCAAUUAUCAUACAAUAAACAUCCAAAUCAUAUUCACAUCAAAUAUAUAUAUUUCAAGCAUUUAAGAAUAUAAUUCAAGCUACAUGAACUUACCUCGAUACUUGUUCGUAUGCAAAAAUCUACUAAUCUCGAACUUUUUAUUUUCCUUGAUCUAGCUUCGUAUUUGAGUUUUCUGGAUUUAAAUAAAUAAAUUUAAUCAUUAAUUUAAUACAUUUCAUGUUCAUAUGUAACAUUCUCUAUAAUUUCACUAUUAUUUAUAAUUCAUUCAGAGCUGUCUUCUUGAGUCAUAGUCACUAAAUUAUUUAUAUCUUGAGCUACGGAACUCCAAAUUAAGAUCUGAUAAUUUUCUCUAAAACUAGACUCACAUAUCUUCUUACCAUAAAAUUUUCAGAAUUUUUGGUUUAGCCAAUAAGUACAGUUUAUCUCUAAAUUCAUCCCUAUUUUACUAUCUGACAGUUUUGACCCUUCUUCACUAAAAAUUAAUUAUCUCCUCGUACAGGAUUCGGAUGAUGUUCUCGUUUGUUUCUUUUGAAAAUAUACUCAUUAAGGAUUUUAAAAAUUUAAAUUUAAGCCCCUAAAUAUUUUUCUCCAAUUUUUUUAUGAUUUUCCAAAUUCAAAACAGGGGAACCCGAAAUCAUUCUGACCUUGUCUCACAAAACCUAUUAUAUCUCAUAAUUUACAAUUUCAUUGCUUACAUCAUUUAUUUUAUAAGAAACUAGACUCGAUAAGCUUUAAUUUAAUAUUUUAUUCAUCCUCUAAUUCGAUCUCUAAAAUUUUUUGUAAUUUUUCAAAGUUAGACUACUGCUGCUGUCCAAAACUAUUUUAAUGUCAAAUGUUGAUUUCCGUUUUACACCAAAUUUCACAGUUCAUACAAUUCAGUCCUUGCUCAAUUAACCCCUCAAUUAGGCUAAUUUUUCUCAAUUUAUACUUUACCUAGACAUUAUAAGUUAUUUCACAGCUAUUGAAAUUCAGAAUUUCCACAUAAAACACUAACUUCAAACUCUUAUACAAUUAGGUCUCAAACAUUCACUUUCUAUUCAAUUCUUUCAAUAAAAUCCGCAUAUAAAUAAUUUAAAGCUCUAAUUCCAUGCUAAAUCAUCAUAUACUUCCAGCACAUAUUCAUAGCAACUUUCAAUUUCAUUCAUAAAAUCUAAAACUAAUGAAUUCAACAAGUGGACCUAGUUGUAAAAGUCACAAAAACACAUAAAUUUCAAGAAAUAAACAAGAAUUGAACUUACUUGCAGUAAAAAUAUGAAAAACCAGCUUAAGGAAACCUUCUAUGGUGUUUUUGCUGAUGAAAAUGCAGAAAAAUAAAGAGAAAUCUAGAUAAUUCCACUUUAAUCCUAACUUUAUUAAGUAAAUUUUGCAAGAUUCCAAUUUUACCCUUAAUUCUCCUUAUUUCCUUGCUGAUUUCAUGCCCUUGCUGUCCAGCCCAGGGUCUAUUUGGCUUUUAAGCCCUCUUUCUUUUAUCAUUUAAGCUAUUUAAUCAUUUCCUAUAAAUUUGCAUUUGUUACAAUUUAGUGUUCAAUUAACAAUCGAAACUUUAAAAUUUCUUGACGAAACUUUAAUACUAACUUAUUACCACUCCAUAAAUAUUUAUAAAAAUAUUUAUGGCUCAAUUAAAAAUAUCCGAGGUCUCGAUACCUUGUUUUCGAUUCUAAUUAUUUUAAUAUUUAUUUCUAGUACACUAUUCACUAUUUCAAAAAUUUUCCUAACUUCACAUUUAACUUAUACUCACUAAAUUAAUAAUAUUUUCUACUCCCUUGUCGGAUUUAGUGAUCUCGAAUCACCGUUCCGACACCACUAAAAAUUCAGGCCAUUACACUUUCAAUUUAACCCCUAAAUGUUCUAAAUUUCUAGGUUUAAAGGAAUCCAAGUGUGACAAACAUGGUUCAACUAAUAUUCCAUAUCAUUCAUUUAUUCAUUCAAGACACAUAUGAAUCAUAUUUUGUAAAUCAGUCCGUUUAAUGUCAAACUUCAUUAUUCAUACCACUCAACUAUAAGUAAUAUAUUCUUUUAUAACACAACUACUUUAGUAUAAAUGAAUAUUCUAUGAACUUACCUAACUAGAACAACAACAAACAGGACACUAAGGACUAUUUUGCAGUUUUUCCUUUUCUACAAUUAUCGAUCGGUUGAUCCGUUACUUGAUCUAUAUAAUAAUUUAAUUCAAUUAUCAAAUCCAAAUACCUUAAAGUAUCUAAAUAUAUGCACAUGAAAUUUUAAUUUUGUUUUCACAAUUUUCUUAAAAUUUUAUAUUUUUUCAAUUUAGUCCCUAAAACUGAAACUAUUAUAUCUUUCACAAUUAAACAUCAUUUUAUGAUCUAAUUUCACAUACAUCCUUAUAAGAACCUCUACUAUCCAUAUUUAUCAAAAAUUCAUGGUAGUUUCAUCAACUUUUCAUUUUAGUCCCUAAAUGCAAAACUAACAAAAGCCACUUUACAAAUUAAUCUUAUUUCAUUCCUAAGCUUACAAUUCUACCAUUUAACAUCAAAACAUUCAAAAACCAUUAAAGGUAACUUUUACAAACUUUAACAGUUUUAGGAUUUAACACACGGGAUAACUAAAUUAAGCUACAACGAUCUCAAAAACAUAAAAUUCAUGAAAAAUGAACCUCAAAUAUACUCACAUGCAAUGAAGAAAAGCUUGACCAAAUCCCUAGCUCUUUAUCAAUAGAGGAAAUGGGUUUUAGAAAGAAAAUGAUGAAUAUGAUAUGCUUACUUGCUUUUUCACAUGUUUUAUUUUCUUUUAAAUUUAAUUUUAUAAAUAAUUUAAUAUAAAACCAAUUACUUACCGUCCAUUAACUUAAAAGUGGCUAAUUGCCACAUAAAACUGCUAACAUUUACCUAUUAAUCAUUUUUAACUAAUAAAAUCAAUAACGAUUAAGUUUUACGAUUUUUAUGAUCUAGUCCUUGUACCCUAAUUAACCAUUUAAUCAAUCAAAUCACCGAACCAAAAUCUAAUAUAACAUUAUAGUAGACUCAUAAAUAUUAAUAAAUAAUAUUUACUGAUCUGAUCAUCGAAAAAAGAAGUUUUGAAACCAUUGUUUCCGGUACCAUUAGAAACGAGCUAUUACACUGGCACACAAAAUGCAUCCUGACACAUAAGCGAAUAACUCGUACACAAUCCAAUCCUAUAGUAUGCCAACUUUAUCUAACACAGCCCAAACAACUAAUAGGGUACCCAUGUUCAAUUUCAUUUUACGAUUCGAUACAUAUAUCAUUUCUCAAUCAAAAUCAUAUUCACAAUCCAAUUCAUUAUCAAUAUACUUUAUAUCUCAUUUCAUACAACAUAUUUCUAUCUCAUUUCCAUAUAACACAUCAUAAUCCAAGCCUUUCAUGUCAUUUUCUAUUUUAUUCAUUUUAGACCUCUAUUUCGGUAUUCCAUAUAACAUAUCAUAUUCCAAGUAUGUACAACAUACUUGUACAUAUAAUUCGUUCGAUAUUUAACCGCCCAAUUAAAUUAAUUCUAUAAUCAACUUAAUUCAUGUGACGGCUAAAAACAAUACUAACUAUGUUUGGAUUUCGUUCGUUUCAACCAUAGAGUGUGGCCUUGUAGGUUCUUGUAGCGUUAGCAGUAAUACUAGAAUGAUUCUAAUAUUACAACCAAUGAGUAGCAUCUAGCAAUGCAUCAUUGCUACCUAAGUUACAAGAAGUCAUGAUUCGACUUAACCUCUAUGUGAUUAACCUUUAAUGUAUUAAAUCCUUUUGUCUUUUAUAUCUAGAAUGGGCACAAGUCAUGGAAUUGUCACACUUGCAUAAUCUAUAUAAUGUUUCUUAAUAUCCUGAGUAGACUAUGAUAAACAAGUAAGUAUGAUAUCUCAUAUUAACUUAUUCGAGUAUGGCCAUGCAUUUCUAGUCUUACUCAAUCAAGUGGCCUAAGAUAUUACUCCUAUUAUGUAGGAGGGACAAACCCUAUAUUGAUUAACCAUAUCCCAGUACAUAGAUUGUGGUAUAUCCAACAUCAACCUUUAUAGAACAACCAGUUACGAUGGAUGUUUGACUGUAUCAUAAUAUACGACUCACGAUGAUGGGAUAAUGAUGAUCUCAAGUCUGAGGAUCGUAAACAUAGUAAUCACUAUGAGUAAUGUUGUGAUUAUUAUAUAAUAAUCCAAGAAACAUACUCAUAGUGGAUCAGUCCAAUACACAUACUCAUGUAUUGAUUUUGACAUCCUAUGUUAGUGACAACACUUUGUCAUCAAUAAACUACACGUUAGUCUUAAUGCAUUAUUGUUGUUCAAGCCCACAAUAAUACUUGACUAAGGACCUUUUAAGAAUAAUCAUAUUAUUCUCAAGACAUUAUUAUAAAACAGUUUAUUUAUACACACAUAAAAGAAACUAAAAUAAUAAUGGCAAUGCUUUAUAUUAAUAAACGAGGUAAAACAAGUAUGUUAUUACAAUCAUUUCAUGAUUGGUCUUUGGGCAUACUCUAACAAGCUUAAUAAAGCUCCCAUGAUAAAAAAAAAUCUAUAAAAAUCAAAGAAAACUGACUAGAGACUUACUUGAAAUUGGUGGCUUAAUAUCGAUCUAGGUUUUUCAAGCUUUUUCAUUCUUUCUUCUAUGGAGGACACGAUGAAGAAGAUGAUGUUUGUCAUCCUUUCCCACUAGAUUAGUUUAUAAUUAAGCUUAAUUAAAUAAUUUAAUCUUACUUAAUUAAGCACUAAUCUUUACUUGACUUAAUUUAAUGACAUUCACCUUCUAUCCACUAAAAAAAAUUCUAAAUUGGUUUAUUAGCUAUUUUAGUCCUUUCGAUAAUUGCUAUCUAAGUCCUUAAGCCUUUCUCUAAUUAAAACUCUAUAGCAAUUAAAUUUUUACAAUUUAGUCCUUGGGUCUUAAUUAACUACUGUAAAGCCCAAAAUCUGCCCGGGCUUGACAGUCCAUUUACAAAAAAUGAACCCAAACAAUUAUAGCCCAAAUAAAAAAAAGCCUAAAGCCCAAAUGGCCCAAAACUAAACUAGUUUUCAGCCAAACACAAAAACCCUAGCCCCAUGCCCCGCUACUGCCGCCGCUCCAUCUGCGCCGCACGCCGUCACCGUCCAAGACUUGCCUAUCACCGGUCGCCCACGCGUCUGACACCUGCGAAAAUUAAGUAUAACGACAGUGAAAAGGCAUGCGGGCAAUAAAAAAAAGAAGAUGGACAUUAAAGAAGAAGGAGAAGACAUUUUUUUCGGCUAUAAAAAGCCUUAAUCGAAUCCUUGUAUUUUUUUUACGAAUACAUCUCAGUCAAUCAAAAACUCAGAAACAAAAAUAGAAAAGGUUGAUUUUAAACUACUUUUUUCGUCUCUUUCUAUUUUAUUUAUUUGAUCUUAUUUUAUUUUAUUUUUUUUCUUUUGCAAAUCUAUUUCAAAUAACUAUAGUAAAAAAUCAAAAGCAAUAAAAAGGGGAAGGGGGACUUACCGGGGAAGCGCCAAAAUCGUGCCCGCGAGGUGUUCUCAUUCUUCGCGGCCACCGGAUCUCAAAGGCGCCGAGGUUCCUUUAUUUUCUCCUUCGGGAUUGGGGGUUUAGCCUUCUGGGAUGUUUCUAGGCCGAGGUUAGGAGCUCUUUCUCCAUCGCCGGCCACCGGUCUUUGUGGCCGUGAUGGCGACGCGCCGGAGGCAAAUGAACCCGAGGGUCGGACGGUUGAAAGUGGAGGAGAAAGGUUUUGAAACAAAAAAAUAUAUAAUAAACAGAGGCCAGAAUGAAAAGAAUGAAAAUUUUGCUUAAAUGCACUGAGUAAAACGGCGCCGUUGAGGGGAGGUGACCAGCGCAUUCUUGCCCUAGUGGUAAUUUUGCGCCUUUGGUCCCUCCAAUUUUUCCAGCGCAUUUAAAUUACCCUUUUGUUUCUUUUAAUUUUAGCCAUAUAAUUUCGCGUCUUUUCCAAUCUGGUCCUGCGCAAAUCUAUGCGCAUAUGGGACGGGGAAUAUUGCGCAAUCGGUCCCCCAGGUCCUCGGCGCCUUUUAUUUCAACCCCUUUACCACCUAUUUCAUAUAUUUGUAGUUUAAGACCCGUUUUUUUAUUCUGUUUCAACCACGUCCUUAAUAUGUUUUUUAUAUACGCUAUUUUAUCAUUAUUUGGUUUAAGCCUUUAUAUUUAUUAUUUAUUUGAAAUUGUUUUGCACUAAAUUUUUUUAUAUAUUUUAAAAACUGUUUCUUUUAUUGUUUAAGAUUUUCUUUUGUAUAUUAUUUUAUUUUAAACUACUUUAGAUUGACUAGUAUUUAUCUCAAGUUUUUAUCUCAUUUUAUUUAUUUGGUUUAAAUUUAUAUAUUAUCAUAUUAUAUAUUAUUAUCUAUGUUAAAAUAUUUUAAUAUUAAUAAUUUCAAAUUAUUCAUAUAUUUUUAUAAUAUAUAUUUACGUACAUACUUUUCAUUUAUUAUAAACAUAUACUUUUUAUAUUUUAUAUUUUAUAUUUCAUAUUUUAUAUUCUUUAUAUUCUCAAAAAUAUUUUUUUAAUUCACAUACAUAUUUUCUUACAUUAUUACAAUUUGUAAAUAUAUAUACACACAUACUUACAUUUUUAUUUUAUAAUACUUACAGAUUUUUUUAUAUAUGUAUAUAUUUAUAUACGUUUUCAUAUUCUAUAAUUUAUAUGCAUUUCUUAUUUUCAUGGCUUAAAAUUAUACAUGCAUACACAUUGUUACAUAAUUGUGUUUAUUGUCAUCAUUGUUAUUUGGUGUUUGUUUCUUUAUUCAUGUACACUUUCACUUUUCUAAAAUGUUAGUUCUAUUUAUUUAUUCGUUUACGUUGUUUAUGUAAUCGCCUCGUCAUUUCAUUUUGCCUAUUGUAUUGUUGUUACUCACAUUACUUUGCUUACCUUGUCGUAUUCGUUAUUGUUUUGUCAUGCAUUAACACCAAACAUCAAAAGGAAAGUUUUUUUCUAAAUAAGGCAAUAUUUCGCGUUUGGAAAAUCAAGAAAACGUGCCCUAACGUGCUGGUUUCGAUUUCUCGUUCGACUAAAUAGCCAAAUAUCCUCUUAAAACUUCAAAGUAUGGUUUCAUUAAAUUAUAAGGUGAUAUUGGUUUUGAUGGUUUAGAGUAUCGUGUCCUAACGUGCUGGAUGUGAUAUUCCUUCGGAACAAGAGAAUCUUAUAUUUCAAUUCACAUUAUCAGAGUUUCUUUCAAGGAUCGUAUUUUUUAAACUCUUCAAAUUUUCAAUUUUCGACACUAAGACACUAAUUAAUCAACUAGGUACCAAUUUUGGGCGUAUUGAGGGUGCUAAUCCUUCCUCGUGCGUAACCGACUCCCGAACCUGUUUUCUGAAUUUCGUAGACCAAAAUCGUUGUUUUAAUAAAAAUUAAAUCGUUUAUUAAAAACAACCACUUUUCGAGGUGACCCGAUCACACAUCAUCAAAAAAGGAUUGGUGGCGACUCCCGUUUUCAUUCUUUUUUUCAAAAUCCAAGUCGACCCCGUUUUCACAAAAAAAUGGUGUCAACAACUACAAUUUCGGCUAAAUUACUUAACCGAAUUUCAAUAUAUCUAUAUACUAACUCUGUAAAUAUCCCUAUUUAAUAUUUACGGACUCGGUUUAUGAAAAUGAGGUUCAAAAAACUGCACUUUUCGACGCCACUGGAAACCGGGUCAUUACAUUUCUAAUUUAUUGGAUUUAAAAGUUUUUAAGUAUUUCUUAUAUAUAUUUAUCAAGUAAGAUAUAGAAAGAAUAUGAUGUGGUGAUCCGAUCGAAUCUAUGGAUCAUAUUCUUAGAGAUUGUUUAGCGGCCAGGGAAGUUUAGAGUGUGGUCCAAGCUCUCUCAUAAGAUUUGAGUUUCUUCAUUUUGGAUUUCAAGUAGUGGGUAAAAAACAACAGUAGGUUUGAACAACUAAUGCGUUUUGCUGCUUCCUUGGAGGAAUUUUUUGUGGCCAUUUAUAGGGACUGUGGAAGGGAAGAAAUAUAGAAAAUUUUCAAUGACAAAAUCAAUUUGUUGUGCAAGUGGUGGGUUAUGUUAGAAGGCUCGCCUUGGACAUUUAUAAUGUUUGGAAGAAAUAUAUCACAUGCUUUGUUACUGUUGUGCGAUAUGUUAGUUGGAGAAAACCACCUUCAAAUGCAUAGAUUCUUAACAUCGAUGGCAACAUUCGAAUGUUGACACAAAGUGCCGCAACAGGUGGUUUGAUUCGAGGACUAAAUCUACUGUUGUUGGCUUGAUUCGAGAUGAACAUGGUAUUAGUUGGUUAGCUGGUUUCUUGUGUAAGAUUGGAAGUGCUAAUAGCUUACAUCCAGAGCUUUGGGCUGUAAGAGAAGGAUUGCGUAGCUAAGGCGAAGGGGUUAUCUAAUAUAAUAGUUGAAAUGGAUUUUGUGAUCAGGGUAAUGACUUUGAAACAUGGCGUGGUUGAUACUCACCCACUUGGCUCAUUGGUUUGAGAUUGCAUGGAACUUGUCAACAAGAGUAUAGGGUGAUUGAAAUAAGACACAUACAUAGAAAGGGAAAUCGAUGUGUAAAUCAUCUUUGCUAACUUGGCACAAGAUCUUGACUUGGGGUUAUUCUUUUAUCUGCACCGCUAGACAGCUUAUUGUCUUUGGUAAUUGAUCACGAUGCUAAUGGCAAAAAGAUUGCUAGAGUAGGCUAGUUGCUGUAAUACUUUUCAUUUUGUACCAAUAUAUAUAUUUAGAGUUUAUAAUUUAUAAUUUAUAAUUAUAUUCAUUUAUGGAUUUUUAUAUAUUUAUUUAUAUUAUUAUAAAAUUUUAAAGUUUACAUAUAUUUAAUAAAAUAAGUUUUAUAUAUUUUUUAUUAAAAAUGCCACAUGGUGCUAUUUGAUUGGUCAAAAUAGCCAACAAUUUUUUUAACAUUUGUUAAUAAUUUGGGUCAAAACCAUAAGUGAAUGAUACUUUAGGUAUCAAUUGGUACAAACAAAAAUUUAGGUAUCAAAGUAAGAAAAUAGGUAUACUUCAAGGACUAAAUUGUGAAUUAAGCCAAUAAAGAACAAUCAAUACAAAUUUAAACUUGAAACUAAACAAAUUGAUGAAUAAAAAAUAAAACAUUUUCAAAAUAAGCAAAAAAAAAUAUUUUCUUUUCCUCCAAACAAGUCAUGUGAGUAGCUAAAAAUUAGGUCAAAUUAUGCUAUUAAACCCUAUACUUUGAGUAAGUUGUGGACUUAGUACAUAUGCUUUAAUUUAGUUAUGUUCAAUCUUUGUACUUUUAGAAUUUUAAAAUUUUAGUCCUAACUAUUAAGUUUAUGAAGUUGUGCUAUUUUCAAAAUUCGAUGCGUCAAACAUAUUAUUGCAUGUGUAAUGUCAUUUUAGCUUGUCAUCUUUACAUAUUACUUGCAAAAACCCAGCUAAUAGAUUUAAUGGCUGCUAUUACAUUAAGACUAAAAUUUCAAAAUCUAAAACAUAUUGUGACUAAGAAUUAUCCAAAUGAAGAACAUGGACUAAAUUUCUAACUUUACGCAUAACACAAGACUAAUGAUAAAAUUUAACCAAACAAAUUUAAUUGCUAUUAUUUGAACAUAACUAAUUUUUUAAAAUUUGAAAAGCACAAACACUAAAUUUAAUUAAAUCAUAGCAAAUCCAUAAGGAAGUACUUGAUUUAGUAACAAAAUUUGAUCCUAAAAAUUACCCUUUAAAAUUAAUUUAUUACUAAUUUAUAUAUUAAGAUAUGAAAUAAAUAAUACUGCUAGCAUUAAUAUAAAAAAAAAACUAAAUUAUUAGAGUAAAAAGAACCUACAAAAAAAUACCUUGUCUUGCCAUGAUAAUAAUAUCAGUAUUGAAUUGGUUCAUAUUUUAUUUUAAUUUUACUUUUAUGUUUUAACUAUGUGAAAUUAAAAGACGAAAGGCCAUAAAGAAGCUUCUGGAGACAAUUGGAAGAAGGAGAAAAGAAAAAUAAAAAGAAAAGAAGGAUCUGCAAAGGGGGGCGGCUGAAAGAAGAAACUGAAAAUAAAGUGGCCGCCAGAUUAAUUUGCUUUUUGGGUUAUUAUUUAUCAGUGGGCUGAUCGACGUCCAGUCUCCACUGGUCAAAUCGCUGGAAAUAAGGUAGCAAAAGAUAUCGGUUUUAAUUUAUUCAUUUCAAUAUUUUUCCUUCUUUCAAUUCAGUGUAUUGCCUUUCAUUCAUCGUCUUUGAUCGUAUUGCAGUCGAAUUGAUAAGCUUUUGUUCUGAUAUAAUUUCCAUAUUACCGAAAAUACCGAGUUUAUGAGAUUAUGAGAAAUGUUUUGAGAUUUUAUCUGUUGAAGUUGUUAGCCUGAAGCGACUGUAUAGGAAGAGUGCUUUUUAGUUUGAGGGGAAGAAGACUUUUGAUUGUUGUUCAAUGCUUUGGAUUUGAGAUGAAGAGGAAAUUGCGUACUUGAUACAACUGAAUGUAUGUAUCGUUUUCGCGAGUAGUAGGGCUCUUUCAUGGUUCUGUAGCAGUUCUGAAAUGGUUUAUUAGUUAAUUACUGAACUGAUAAAACUGAAAGCCUUUGUUGUUUCAUUUUUAUAGGUUAUUGGCCCCUUUGAGUUAUCAUCCAGUCUGGGCCACCCACACAAGAAGAGAGUGGGAGCAAGAGAUUCAAGAUUGGAUAUCAAAAGUUCCUAUUCUAAUCUGAAUUGAAGCAGGCAGGUCCAUGAAAUCCUCCUAUUCCUUGUGUUCCACAUAAAUUAAGAUCUUAUACAAGUCUGUCCCCCCGCUUCCUUAAUUCAUUGUUUUUGAAAUUGGAAUUGGAAUUGGAUGGCUUCCUCUGGGAAUCCCAAUCCUCAACCACAAAUUGGCGGUGGAAGUGGAGGUGGAGGCGGCAGUGGAGGGUUCGAUUUGAACAAACUGUUUAAGCCCAGUUCCAGCCCAAUGCUGCAGCAUCAGCAUCUCCAAGACAUGAACGUCAUGGCAACUCCUCCAAGUCCAAAUCCUAACACUACCAACCUGACUACAUCCCCAUCUUUCCCAGCCCAACUGUCAACGCCGCCUCCACCUCCCUAUUUAACGCCUUCCUCCUCUUACCCUCCGCCUACUAGGCCCUACCCUUUCCAUCAGCAGUACCUUCACUACCCUCCUCCUCCUCAACACCUACCCCCCUUGCAUCCUCAUCCUAAUCCUACUGGACCUAUUCCUUAUCAUCCCCAACCCCAACUACCCACCACUCCUACUUCUGGAAAUGACAUUUUGAUGGCCUUUUUUGGCACUCAGUCUCAGUCACAAGCUCCUGCUCCUGUCCCUUCUGCCCCACCUCUUAAUAUGAAUGUCAACCCAUCUGCCCCUUCGCCCUCUCCCUCCUCUCCCUCACCUGCCCGACUGUUGAGCAGCAAGUCCCCCAAGGGAAGGCAUCUUUUUGGGACCAAUCUCCUUUACGAUAUUCAUGUCAGGCUGCCCAGUGAAGUACAGCCCCAACUUGAGGUCACUCCCAUUACCAAGUAUGCUUCUGAUCCUGGCCUUGUUCUUGGUCGUCAGAUUGCUGUUAAUAGGAAUUACAUUUGCUAUGGUCUUAAGCUUGGGAAUAUCCGUAUCCUCAACAUCAACACCGCCCUCCGGUCCUUGCUUCGUGGCCACACUCAGGUAUUUCUCUUUAUACGCACUUUUCUAUUAUCAAGUUCCUAUUGUGAAACAUCUUAUUACCAGCUCAACCUUUUCAUUUAUUUUGUUUCUCCAAAUAUAGAGAGUGACAGAUAUGGCUUUUUUUGCUGAGGAUGUCCACCUUUUGGCCAGGUACUCCUUUCUACAUAUUUCAUGCGAUAAAUUGACUUCAUUUGUGUCAUCAAAAAGUGCUCAUCUUUCAUUUUCUGCAGUGCAAGUGUCGAUGGCCGGGUUUUUGUAUGGAGGAUCAAUGAAGGCCCUGAUGAUGAAGAUAAGCCGCAAAUUUUUGGCAAAGUUGUUAUUGCCAUUCAGAUCGUGGGGCAAGAAGAAUCGAAACAUCCACGAGUCUGUUGGCAUCCUCACAAACAAGUAAUAAAUCGGUUUGUAUUUUAUGUUAUCAAAUAGUAACUAUUAUGUGCUUGUCCUGUCCAUACUUUUUUUUCCUUGUUGUAAAGGUUCAACAAAUGUUAUCUAACAGGAGAUUUUGAUGGUUGCUAUUGGAAAUUGUAUCCUGAAAAUUGAUACAAUGAAAGUUGGAAAACUUGAAGGGUUUACAGCAGAGGAACCUCUUAAUUGCUCUGUUGAUAAGCUUAUUGAUGGGGUUCAGUUUGUUGGUAAACAUGAUGGUGAGCUUACAGAGUUGUCAAUGUGCCAAUGGUUGACUACCCGUUUAGCUUCAGCUUCAGUAGAUGGCACGGUUUGUACAAACACUUUUUCUUAUUUGCUGGUUUAUUUCCUCUCUUUUGGUUCUUAAUAUGGUUUCUUCUGAGAACAAAAAUGAAAACUGAGUGAUGGUUAUAUCUAGAACACAGAAAACCUCUUCAAAGAUUUUCCUAUAAUGGCUGUACGUGACAUGUAAAGCUGAUAAUGUUUUAUUUCCAGCUAACAUGAUGACUGUAGUUAUGGAUAUUGAGCCUUUUUAAUGUAAGUUUUUUGGUUGUCCAAAGCGAUUUUCUCAUUAUAACUAUUAGCUAUUAUUGAUGUGGGAAUACUGUAAAUCAAGUAGCUGACAGCCAUUGGCCUUUUUAAGGCCUAGAAAAUUGAAGAUUUUGGUUUGACUUGUGGCAGUUGUUCCAUUAGGCAGUGUGCUUAAAUUCCGAGCAGACCAUCUGUAUUCAUUCUUCAAUCAGGUAAUGAUAUUUGUGGAAACUGUAAACUCUGUGACAGGUGAAAAUUUGGGAAGAUCGUAAGCCUUUACCACUUGCAGUGUUGAGGCCACAUGAUGGACAUCCUGUUUACUCAGCAACAUUCUUGACUGCCCCGCAUCGCCCUGACCAUAUAGUUCUUAUCACAGGAGUAGGCUUCUUUUUCUUUUCCUUUUUAUAGAACAUUUUCUAUGUCCAUUUUAAGCUUUUGUGAUGUAGAAAAUUACUUGUGCGUUUGUGUUAGUACUGCGCCAUAAAUUCACUUUUCAUUAUGCCAAAUGUCUAUUUUGAAAUCUUUUAGGGCCCACUAAACCGUGAAGUGAAGAUAUGGGCCUCUUCAGGUGAAGAGGGCUGGUUGUUGCCCAGUGAUGGUGAAUCAUGGCAGUGUACCCAAACAUUGGAAUUGAGGUGUUCUGCUGAAUCUGAGGUUGACAAUGCAUUCUUUAAUCAAGUUGUGGCACUGCCCCAUGCAGGCCUGUUUCUGCUUGCAAAUGCCAAGAAGAAUGCCAUAUAUGCUGUGCACAUAGACUAUGGGCCUAAUCCAGCUGCAACUUGCAUGGAUUAUAUAGCUGAAUUCACUGUCACAAUGCCCAUAUUGAGUCUCACUGGAACAAGUGAUAGUUUGCCAGGUGGAGACUAUACCGUCCAAGUCUACUGCGUUCAAACACAGGCCAUUCAGCAAUAUGCUUUGGACUUGUCUCAAUGCCUGCCACCACCCUUGGAAAAUGCAGACUUGGAUAAAACUGAUUCUAAUGCUGCUCAUGUUUUUGAUGCCAUGAACUCUGAUGUUUCUGCUUCUCUGGAAUUAUCUCAUGGAUAUAAACCAAGCCCUUCAAUUUUGGUGUCGUGUAUAAGCUCCAGUAGCUCUGAAAGUGCAUCAGUCGUGAGCUGUACGCAAAAUUUAGCUUCUUCAGAUGUUACUUUCAUAUCUGAGAGUGCUGUGUCUGGCAUUGAAAGUAAGCCAAGUGCUUUGCUGUCUUCUAGUAGUGCCGAAAAUAUGCACAGUGCAUCUCCUCCAGGGUUAUCACGAAAGUCUUCUGGUUUUAGAAAUCCAAGUGUUGAUCAUGUUAACCACUCAGCACAUGAUUCUGUUGACCACAAUGUAGAUACAGUCAAAGAGAAUAAGGCUGAAAUGCCCUACUCUGGUGGUCACCUGCAGAAAGGUGAAGAUAUUGCCCAAAAUGACAUUUCAACUGUUCCUGGUCCUCAUACAGUGUUCAAACAUCCAACCCAUCUGGUAACACCAUCAGAGAUACUGUCUACCAUGGCUUCAUCGACAGAGAAUGCUCAGAUUAGUCAGGUUAUUAGUGACGGUGAGGCAACAGUUGAAGAUGUUGUCAAGAAUGAUGCUGAAAGCAUAGAGGUAGAAGUUGACAAUCUUGGUGAGACAAGGCAUUGUCAAACUAAUGAAACUAAAUGUCCACAAGGCCCUCAUACUACUGUUACAGAUAACAAAGAAAAGGCAUUCUACUCUCAGGCAUCGGAUCUUGGCAUUCAGAUGGCCAGAGAUUUUUGUGCCAAAAGUUAUAGCGUUGAGGGAGCUCAACAAGCUAAUCUCAUGGGUGUUUCUGUUCAAGAAGAUAAACUUACUAAUACUGGUGAUGGGGAUGACCAGAAUGUGAUUAAAGAUGUCCCUCCAAAGGUCAGUGAAACUGACACUGCUGUCACUGUUUCUGCAUCUCCAGCUUCUGCUAAAGGGAAAAAGCUGCAAAAGAAAAAUUCUCAAGUAUCUAUCGCAUCUUCCCCUUCAGCAAGCCCAUAUAAUUCCACAGAUUCAUCUAAUGAACCAGGGUGUAGUUCCCAGGCUCUGUCAGCUGAUGCUUUUUUGCCCCAAUUGCUAGCCAUGCAGGACUUGCUUGAGAAGGUGGGUUUUUUUUUUUAAUAAAAACAAUACAUAAACAAAUUUUUGACGAAAAAAUUUCCUUUUAGAAAAAAAAAAUUAUAGAGCCUCUUCUUUAUACAUGUGCAUUCGUGUGCAUGUUAACAUUUUUUAUAUAAUUUUCUUAAUAUAAUGAUUUUGUUGCACCAAGCAGUCCCUUAGCAUGCAGAAGGAAAUGCAGAAGCAGAUGAACACAAUUGUCUCUGCUCCUGUUAACAAAGAAGGGAAAAGAUUGGAAGCAUCCUUGGGCAGGAGCAUUGAGAAAGCUGUAAAGGCAAAUACAGAUGCUUUGUGGGCCCGUUUCCAGGAUGAAAAUGCAAAGCAAGAGAAGUUAGAAAGAGACUGCAUGCAGCAGAUAACAAACUUGAUCACCAACUGUUUAAAUAAGGACUUGCCAGCCAUGUUUGAAAAAUCCUUAAAGAAGGAAAUAGCUGCAGUUGGCCCUGUUGUGGCUCGUGCUAUUAGUCCUAUUCUGGAGAAAAGUAUAUCUUCUGCUAUUACAGAGUCAUUCCAGGUAAAACCAAAAAUCCAAAUUUUGUUCGCAUAUUAGAUUGUUUGGUGCCCUAUAAGAGUGAAGUGUUCAUUUAUUUGGACAAAUGCACCAUUAUAAAUGAAGACAUAAUAGGAAAUGUAGCAACUAUAUCUUCUUGUUGGAAAUGUUAGCAGGUGCUCUUGGCAUGGGUCAAUGUGAUAUUUAUAGGAAGAAUUUUGUAGUUAGUGUAUUUGUUAUCUCUUGAAAAGGAAAUAAUACAUUCAAUAAAAAACAUCAUACUGCUAAAUAUUUACUUUUUGGGAAAACACAAAUGCUAAAUAGUAAUCUGAGUGAUCUUAAACGCACUUGAUCUUAUUAUUGAAAUAUGCUGUAAUGAUCUCUUUCCAUCUUGUCCUAUCUUUUACUUCAUUUCUGGGUAAAAUUUGGUGAAACCUCAGAUGUUUCUACACUAUUUGUUGCUGUGGUAGCUUUCUUUCAUCAAUCGGAUUUAUUCUAUAGUUGUGAAUUUUUCUCCUCUAAAUGUAGUCAAAUAUGGUAUAUAAUUCCCUUAUGCCACUAAAAUUGUGGUAGUUACAUUAUGGGGUUUCUAAUUGGGUAUUUGCAGAAAGGAGUUGGAGAGAGGGCUGUGAAUCAUUUAGAGAAGUCAGUCAGUUCAAAACUUGAAGUGACAAUGGCCAGGCAAAUUCAAGCACAAUUUCAAACUUCUGGAAAGCAAGCACUUCAGGUGACUUCUUGUUCAUCUAUCCUUUUUUUAAAACUUACGUUAUGUGUUUUUCUUUAUUAAAUUCAUUUGAUCCUUCCAAUGCUUUCCUUUUUCUGUCAUUUGGAGUUUGAUAAGAAUAAUUUAUUUCUAGAUGAUAAAAAUUUAGAUCAGUGGGAUUGGUGAAUGUAUUUUCCUUUGACAAAUAAGCAUUCAAAUGUCUCAUGGACUGUUAUAAAUGAAAUUCAUAGCCUUCGUGGGGAUGUUUUCCUUUAUUGUAAAAUGCAAUUACAUGUACUCUCCAAUAUCACCUAAUUCAAUAAAUCAGUUGUACCCUACAGGAUGUAUAAGCUUCCUUUAUGGAUUGGUAGUAACUCUAAAUUCCAUUCUGCAUGAAACUCUUGUUCCUAUUUUUCUCUCUAGUUUAUGUGGAUACAGGUUGUUGAACUUACACUGGUCUGCAUUUAAAUUUGAUAGAAAGGAGGGGAAAAAGUUGGGGGGGGGGGUUAAUUGAUACCUGCCUAGUGUCUCCUAAAGAAGAUAACAGAACCCAUCAGAUGAAUGUCCUAAAACUUGUUGAGUUCUCUAGUUAUUUCUUAUUGUUUCUGGUGUCUCUAAUGGUCAUCCUCCCUGGUGACAUUCUGCUAACCUUUUUUUUAUUGGAACGAAUGUUCAUAUAUCUUAAUAUUUGACGUCGGAUAAAGUUGUUCUGCUGAUUAGAGAAAUGCUGUAUUCAUCCACAGGAUGCACUAAGGUCUAGCUUGGAAACGUCUGUUAUUCCAGCAUUUGAGAUGUCAUGCAAAUCUAUGUUCGAGCAAAUUGAUGUCACAUUUCAGAGAGGGCUAAUGGAACACACAGCUACUGCUCAGCAGCAAUUUGAAAAUUCACAUUCUUCCCUUGCCGUUGCUUUAAAGGUAUGGUAGAUUAGUGACAGUUUGGUGGUUUCUAUCGUAACUUAAUUCUCACUUUAGCGUGUUAAAACUGUCAAAGGUUACCUUCCUUAGUAGCUUAAUCAUGAUAAAAUGUAAUUGAGUAUUCUCAUUUUUUUUUAUAAUUUUUACUGUGCUUUGUAGAUGUUCCUGACUUGAUAUCUUUUCUAGGAUAAGUCGUAGUAUAUCUGUUUACUAUUUUUUAUAGCCAUAGAAUAAAUGAUGUUGCAUAAUGAAUUUUAUACAGUUAAAGAGGUGCCUUUAACUGAACAUGUUUCUGCAAAAUCUUGUUUCUAGAUUGCUACUGAGAUAAUAUCUGAAUGUAGGUAUAUAUGCUCAAUAUUAGGAUUUGUGCUUGAAUGGGAGAUUUCUAGAUUGCUACUGAGAUAAUCAUAACCUGUGUUGUCAAGGCUGCAAGGUGCACUCUAGGUGCUAGAACCCUUAAAUUGGUGCAAGAAAAGUGCUAGCCUAAGUGAAAUAAAGCGCAAUAUAUGUAUGUAGUUUUAGCAAGUCUGUAUAUAUGAUAUAUAAAGCUUAAGAUAUAUAGUAAACUCAAAAUUAUGGUCUAGUUUAUCUACAGAACAUGCAAUUUUUUUAUUGAUCAAUAUGCAUGAUUUCCGUAUAGUUUAUGUUUGUUGCUGAAUGCUCAAAUAUUGAGAAGUAUUUAGUUUGACAUGAUUCCUUUCUAACUAGUAAAGAGAUAUCAAAUGAGAUCUGUGAAAAAUAAAAGAAAUUAAAGGAGAUUCAUUCAAGUGGAUUUUUUUAUGCCUAUUGCCUUACAUAAAAGCGCUCCUAGGUACAAGCCUCGUGUGCCUAAUCAAAAGGGCCUUGCUUGGAAGGGUCUGAGGCAUUUUUGUUGAAUAAUGCUAAAGCUUAAGGCACAGGUGUGCCUAGGCACAAGCCUUGACAACACUGAUCAUAACCUGGUUUUGUUAUAAUUAAUGGAUGGUUGUUUUGUAAUGUACGGUAGUCAACAGCCAGUUUUAAUGAUGUCCAAUAAGAUGGUGAAAUGUUCGAAGACAAUUUUUCACAUUUAUGUAUAGUGUUGCCUGUAUUAUAGGCUUUGCUGGUUCAACUUAAGUCUUUUAAGAUAAACUGCUUUAUAUUCACAGGAUGCUAUUAAUUCUGCAAGUUCAAUCACACAAAGCUUAUGUGGAGAAAUGGCCAAUGCACAACGAAAACUUCUAGCUAUAGCAGCAGCAGGUGGCAGCUCCAAGGCAGGAAAUCCCUUGGUGACACAAUUGAGUAAUGGGCCAUUGGCUCAUCUGCAUGAGAUGGUAUUCUCUCUCUGUUUCUCGUAAAUCUGACAGUCAUCGUUCAUGUUUAUGUGCCUCACAUCGACUGUUAUACGUGUACAGCAGCCUGAGGCACAGUUAGAUCCAACAAAAAAGUUGUCAAGAAUGAUAGCUGAGAAGAAAUAUGAUGAAGCAUUCACCUCUGCCUUGCAUAGAAGUGAUGUCUCAAUAGUUUCCUGGUUGUGUUCUCAGGUAAGGUUCCAAUGAUCAGUUGUACUCUUGACAUUAUUUUCCAGCAACCCUUAAUUGUACAUAACGAGAAAGCUCUACUUUGAGACCUGACAUUGGUUUGAAUUGAAUUAACCAGGUUGAUCUACAAGGGAUAUUGUCAAUGAAACCAUGUUCACUGAGCCAAGGAUUAUUGCUGGCACUUUUUCAGCAACUGGCUUGUGAUAUCAACAAGGAAACAAGUAGAAAGCUGGCAUGGAUGACUGAUGUAGCAGUUGCCAUAAUCCCAUCAGAUCCAACAAUUGCAGUGCAUGUGGUACCAAUCUUUAGGCAGGUGUCUCAGAUAGUGGAUCAUCUACAAAGCAUGUCCACUACAUCUGCCUCAGAAUCCGCCAGCAUCAGGGUUCUUAAGUUUGUCAUAAACAGUGUGUUAAGCGGUAAAUGAUUUUGUUCAAAUUUGCUAGAAUAUCUUCCUUUUUUUUUUCUUUUUUGUUUUUAAAUAUAGAAAUUUAGGUACUUGCAGUGGAAAGACAAAUGGGGGAUUAUUUCGUAUAUUCAGUUGUAUGUUCGAUUUUGUGUGAAAUAGUUGAGAGCGUAUUUACUUCUCAAUCUUUUUUGGUUUUGAAUUUUUUUUUUUUGGGUUCAGGUCUUUAUGGCUUGAAAAUUUUUUCAUAUUCAAUUUUAUUUGGGUUAGGUUAUUUUGGGUUUGAGUUUAUUUUUGUUCAGUUUCUGAUUUAUUUUUACGUUAAUUGUAAUUACAUCUACAAAAUUUAAGUGUUUACAUUUUAAUAUAAAUUAUUAAUUUAUUUAUCUUUAAACAAACUUUUGAUAUUUUCAAUUAUAUUUUGAUUAAAUCUCGCAAUUCGUUGUUGUUUUGCACCAAAAUGAUAUAAUUAAUUGACAAUAUAAAAUUAACUUUUAAAAUAAUUUAGGGAUGAUGAUUUUUGGCUCAGUUUGCAUAUCUUUUAUUUAUUUUUUACUCUCUGUUUUUUUGCUUGAUUUAACCUUUUAAUUUUUACCAUUUAAAAGUUGCCCAUGAUAAAAAUUAACCUUUCAUUAACUUGAUAUGGAUGUUUCGUGAAAUUUUCUUUGAUCACUUAGAUUUUCAUAUCAUAUAUGUAAUACCCAAUUUUAAGCCCGGGCUCAAAUAAAUAAACAUAAAAAUAAAAAACAAAAACAAAAAAAAACACAGUCCAUUUUUACAAAAAACCUAAACCCAAAUGAUCCAAUACCUAGCCCACUAACCUAAAGCCUAGCCUAACUACAGUGUGGCCCUCAGCAAAAACACAAUACAGCAGAAACCCUAAGCAGUGGCAGCAAAUUGGCGCCGCAGUAACCGCCCCAACGUCACCCCCACACGUUGCGCACGUCGCCCCGCACCCACCAUGCACGUUAUUCCUGCAAACGAACCACGGAUAGCACUAGAAUGACCGAAAAUAUAGCAAAAAUUGUAAAAAGAGAUUUUUUUUCUUUUUUCUUUUUUCUUCUUUCGGCUAUAAAAACUGAGGAAUACAUUUGUAAACCAAAAAAGAGGGAUAUCAAAAAAACAAUUUAAAAGAAUCAGAGAGCAGUUUGAAGGUUUUUUUUUUCCUUUUCUUUUCACUUCGAGUUUUUCUUCUUUUGUUUUUUUUUAUCUUUGUUUCAUACCUUUUUAUAAAAAAUAUAAUAAAAAGGAAAAGCGGCUUACCUGGUUUCGAGCGCCAUUCGCGGUGGCCUCACAGUGGGCACGACGGUGGCGGCAUGAAGGUGCUAGGGUCGAAACCCUAGCAGAGAACCCCCUCCCCUUUUGUUUUUUUAAAACAGAAAAAUAAAAUAGAAAAUUUUUAAGGGAAAUUUUUGUUUUUAAUAAUGUAAGCAAAACAGCGUCGUUCGGUGAGGGCAGGAUCCGCGUGUCGA
rnacentral:lncRNA from 1 species